AAGGAUAUGAAAUUCUAGUUGAUUUAAACUUAGGUCUUGUUUGGUGUUGAGGUGUUGUAGAUUUUAAGCUACAGGUGUUGUGGAAAAAAGCUACAACUAUUAAAUAAAAGUUAAUAGCUUGUAGUAAAUAUAAUUUUUAAAUAAUAAUUUUGACAAAAUUAGUAAAGAUAUAAUAAAGUUUUCAUCAUACAAGCGUAAAAUCAAAUCAAGUUAACUUUCAAGCUACAACAACUGGUGUUUACCAAAUACUUUAGUACUUUAGUUUUUAAGCUAUAGUUGUUCAACUCAAUACCAAAUGGUGCCUUUCAGGAAUUGUGCUCUUUUUAUUGUUAUAUGUUAUGGCUUUUGUAUGAGUUCCCAAUCACCAGUUUGACCAGCAAUUAUUUGAAAUGUGUGGUGGUUUGAAAAGACCUUGGCGCACAUUCCGUCCUCUUUAAGUGAAAUGUGGGAACCAACUGUGGUGAAUCUUGCACAUGCUUACAGAAAAUUAAAGUAUGUUUAAAUUUAUUGGAAUAGGCUGUCUCACUUGCUUUUUCUUGUUCUAUUGCCUACUCAGGAUAUUUAUCCUUUAUUUUAUUGUGUUUUUGUUGAAUUUUACAUGAAAUAUCAUUCAGAUAUCUAGAUUUGUUUUUUUUUUUUGGCUAAAUUUUCAAAUAGAGGAUCAUCUUUAUCUUGAUAAAUGCAUUUUAUUUUAGGGAUUCCAGCAUAGGGUAAGAUUUUUCAGUUUGCAUCGUCUGAGAUUGUGAGCAGCAUGAAGAUAUAAGAAAGAAGUAUAACCUUCCUUAUACCGUCAUGGCUGCUUAUGGUCAGCUUUGCCCAGUAAGCUCGAGAGACUACUAGGAGCCGUAGAAGUUGUCUGUAGCACUUCCUAAAAGGACUUGAUGCAAAUAGUUUAAAUAAGGAUAUGCCGGAUUAUGGAUUGGUCUACUCUCUACUGGCUACUUCAUAUGCUACCCUUUUAUAUGUUUUUAUCUUUAUGGAAUAGUACUUUUUUUUCAUGUUUUUGCUUUUUUCCUUCUUAGUAGGCAGUGGGUUUAGGUUUAUUUCUAGUAUUGCUAAUCUAUAAACAUACAUUUGACUUAUUGUUUAUUGAACCUGAUUCUAGAAUCUAUCAUGUUUCAGGAUAUAUCACGAGGCAAUAUCCUGUUACGAGCGAGCGCUGAUGUUGUCGAAUAGAAGUUUGAGCACCUAUGCAGGUUGUGCUUACACUUACCAUUUGCAGGUAUGGUGGAUUUAUUAUUAAUUCAUUUUCAAUGAAAACUUGUGUGCCUAUGAAUAUUCUGCUGAUGUGAGGAGUAGUUAGCAAAUUGAUCUAAGUGGUAUUUGUUAGCAAAUACUAGUUUAUUGGAUGCAUCUAAUAUUUGCAGCUUAGGGUUUAAAAAACCAUUGUCAGAUCUUCACCGUUGCGUUCAAAAAACUGCUAGAGUCUAUGGUGGCGAAUUUGUUUCUUUUGGGUCUCUUGUGCAGGAUAACUUCUCUGCUGCCAUUACAUAUUAUCACAAGGUAAACUAAAAAGUACUCUUGCUGUUUCCUUUAUGUGCAAUAAGCGUACUGUCUAUCGUAGUCAUCCACUGUUGAAGAGACAACUCUAAUCUCGCUACAUUAUAUGGAUCAUUGAUUUGCUUUUUCAUUCUAAUCUGCAAAUCAGGCAUUGUGGCCGAAGCCAGAUGAUCAGUUUUGUACCGAAAUGUUAAGUUUGGCUCUUGUUGAUGAAGAUCGCCAUGGCAUUGACCCCAAAAUCGAAUUUGAGUGUAAUUUGUUAUUCAUACCUAUAACAGUUUAAUUAUUUUGGUAUUGGUGAAGGGCUUUUAUUGUAUAAGCUCAGGGUGAAGGGCUUUUAUUGUAUAAGCGCAGGGGUGUCAUCUUCAUCUAUAUUCUACCUUUUACAUUAUUAAUUUAUUUCCUCAUUUGUUGAAAUCUACUUGGCUUAGAAGUGAUUUAAAUUGCUUUCUUUCAUGGAACCAUUUUCUUCACAGUUUUUAUUAUUUACCACCAAACAGUUAAGUCCAUUAAGAAAUUAAUGAUGUCACAUGGAUAUUUCAAGAAUUUUAGUUUAUUAAGCUGGAAGUAUUAUAAUAUUUACAAUUUUAUCAAUUGAUCAAUUUGGAUAAAUAAAACAACCAAUUGAUAAAAGUAUUAUCUCUUUGUGUAUGAUUAACUUUAUUUUUUUAUUGAUUUGGAAGAUUAAACCUAUUUUCACAAUUUAGGGGUAAACCAGACUUUUAGUAUAAAUUCUAUUAAAAUUUUGUUAUUUUAGCAAGUAAAAUGUAAUAGUUGGAAUAUUAAACUGUAAAAAUAUAAUUAUUAAAAAAAUUUACUAAUAAAGUGAUAUAUUAGACGAAGUUAGGCGAUAAAGAGAUAACAUCCCUCUUAGGAAUUAAUUAUAUUAGUUUACAACCUUGUAAUCCUUUGUUAAGCAGCAAAGUAAAAUAUCUUUUAUUGAGUAUUUUUGUUUCCUAUUUAACACAUGCAAUCUUUUAUUAAAUGAAAAAAGAUUUUUUUUUUAAAAUAAAUAAAUAAAAGAGGAGCAAGGCCGAAAUCAAAAGAGUUAAAUUUCGUCGAGCCUCGUGUACUCAGUUUAGAAUUCUAAAUUCACAAGUCUAAUUAGGUUUAUAUUAUUAUUAUGAUAUUAGUUAGAAAGGCAGCUAGUAAGCAAGUCGAAUAAGACAGCUAUUAUUAUUAUUAUUAAGUUUUUUUGGCCUCCUGCCUUUCCUCUUAUGUGAACUUUGUUGAACGACUAAAGAAAGCAUCGGCUAAGCUUCUGAGUCUCAUCCAAAAAUUAUUGGUUUAUACCAAGAUUCCUAAUUGCUACCAUUUGAAUUGUUUUUCAACUUCUAGUUCUCAUAAUUUUGAGAACAAUGAAACAUGAAAAUAAUUGCUUUCUUUGGUGAUUGAUUGAUGUGAUUCUAUUUCAUUGGAUCAUUUUAUUGAAUCUAUUUUUUCAUUGCUACAACCAAAAAUGCUAGUGGGAUCUCUUUCUAGUUUCUAGAAGUACUCUAAUCGCCCUGUUCCUUCUUGAACAUUAAUUGUAGGCUUUUCUGCUACACAACCUUUAAUCUUUUUGAAGUUAGAAUCAAAAGGGGUUUAUCAAAUCUCGAUCCUCCCCAAUUUAGGAUUUCAUAAACAAAAAAUAACUUUGAGAAUAGGGAUCUCUUUUAAAAAAAAAUAAAUUAAUUAAGAAUAAGAGUGAACUACUAUGAAAUUAGUGAGUUCUAAUUAGUUUAAUUAAUAAAUCUUUAUACUAAACUAAGAGAUUUAGAUUUUAAUCAUGUUCACGUGCAUAAGUAGUUACCAAUAUUACUAUGUUUAAGAAAAGUGGUACAAUAGUUUGUUUCAUGUACAUUAUUUUAUUAUUUAUAAUUAAUUAUCACAUUUCUUUUUUUUUUUUAUUAUUAUUGGUUAAAUGAAUCACGAGAUCAAUGGUACGGAUUUAUGAUUGGGAUAUAAGGAAGAAAUCAAUAUGAACUAGCUAAGAAAAUGGAGGAUUAAAAUGAGAAUGGAACAUGAAUCUCUUAAAACAUGGGCAUUUGGUAUCUUGAAUUUUUCUAGUUUAUUAUUAUUAUUUUUGUCGUCGUCGUCGUCUUUGAGGGUGUUUAGGUCAAUUUAUAGUGUAGAUGCCGAUAAGUACAGAAUAGAUGAGUCAACAUAUGUUGAUAGGGAGGUGAAUUCUUUUUCUUUUUUUUUUAUCAUUUUUUAAUGAUUUUUUUUGUCAUUUAUUCUUUUAGCAACUUUAAUUUUUUUUUAAGACUUUUUGUUCUCAGUGGAAACACGAGAUGCACGUGAGGUGGUUGUUAAUUUAGGAGUUGAGUUGAGUUUUUUUACUGAACAUUAAAUUAAUAUUUAUUAAAUAAAAGAAUAAAAAGAUAAAAAUGUAAAAUAAAUUCUAUUAAUAUAUUGUUCGUAAAAAUUAAGUUCAAUAUUGAAUUCUCUAAUUCGUUGUUUAACCUAUAAUUUUGAAAAAAAAUAAAAAAUGGAAAAAAUAAAAAGAAAACAUAAUAAACUAUUAAACCAUAUGACGUUAUAAUAUGAAUACGUUAUCUUGUCACUUUCUUUUUAAGUUAUAUGAUUUUAUAAGUAAAUUUAGAGUCCAGUUAAAUUACAGGGUGAGUAAUUUACAACCCAACCACUUUGUACAAAUAUGAAUAUUUAUAAGAGGGGUCUGGGCUGCAAGUUACUACUAAUGCUUUAACUUAGCGAAAAACCUUAAGUCUAUCUUUUUUGGGAUUAUUUUCUGGGAGAUUGCCACUUUCUCCUUUACAGUAAUUAAUAUAUACCAUUUAUCCCUUUGUUAUUUUGAAAAUGAUAAAAAUCUCAUUGACAGUAUAAGUUACAAUAUUAUCUUUAUUUGUAACUACUCUUUUAUUUAUAUUUAUUAUAAAUUAAAUAAAUUACAUGAAUAUAAACUAAAUAAAAAAAUUAAGUAUUAAAAAUAAGAAAUAUAUGUUUUGAUAUGAGCAAAAAAAUUAAUAAUAAAAUUUUUUUCUUGUAAUUAUUUAUUUUGCAAACAUUUUCUUAUAAUAAACAUUUUGUAAUAUUUUAAAAGUAAAUGUAAAAAGUAUAGGCAAAAUAUUUUAUUAUUUAUCUUAUAAUAAAUUUUUAUUUGUCAUUCAAGUUUUCUUAUAAUAAUUUUUUUAUCAUUUUAUAAUAACUUUCUUAUAUAUUUAUUAUAAGAAAAUUUUUACAAAAUAAAUAAGUACAAGAAAAAAAUUCAUUAUUAAUUUUUUAUAUUAAAAUAUAUAUUUCUUAUUUUUAAUGCUAAUUUUUUAUUUAAUUUAUAUUUAUGUGAUUUAUUUAAUUUAUAAUAAAUAUAAAUAAAAAAAUAAUUAAAAAUAAAAAUAAUAUUAUAAAUUUAUACUAUCAGAGGAAUUUUUAUCCAUUAUAAAAAUAAUAAGAAAAAAUAAUAAAUGUUCAUUACUGUUGGGAGAAAUUCACAAUCUCCUUAUUUUCUCCAUUUGGAUAACAUCACUCGAACUUUAGUUGACCACGUGUCAACAUUUCAAUGGUUUCAUAUCAAAUUAUUAGCUGUGAAUUAUUGAGUGAGAAAACAUACCGGACCCCCAACUUUUGCUUUUACGUGAACAUGAAUCAGAUCCUCUUUUUUUUUUUUUUUUUUUUUUUUCUUUUUGAUAUAGUGAAUCAGAUUCUUGAAAAGCUGUGAAGUGGGGAGCGAUCGUUUAAGUUAUUUAAAUUUAAAGCCGGCAAUAAUUGAAGCCUUAGGAUUGUUAUUGAUUAUUACCUCCACCAAAGCUUUCUGAAAAAACAGAUUAAGAAAAUUUUUUUUUUUUUUGUUUUCCUCGAAACGACAUAAGACGAUCGCUCUUAAUUUUAAAUAACUCCAGUUGACUUACCGUUGAACUGGAAGGACAUAAGGAGAAUGACCUUCUCAUUUUCCAUCUGUCAUAAAAAUUUAUUUAAAAAAUAAGUGCAUAAACUAAGCCGGGCUUAACGUUUUAUUUUUAACCAAUAUAUAUAUAUAUAUAUAUAUAUAUAUAUAUAUAUAUAUAUAUAUUAUAGAAAAUGAUAUUUACAUCCCAAGAUUUAGGAAAAUAGUCACAAAAACUCUUGAGUUUUUAAUAAAGGACACCAAAACUCUUUUUGACCAUAAUGCCUUUUGACUCUAUAAAUCUAAAAAGAAAAAUAACUCUAAAAUUUUAUAAUGAAUAGAAAUAUGACAUUAAAAUAAAUGUAAUAAGAUAUACAUUUCAAAAUAAUUUUAAUAUCUAAAAAUAUUUUAAUAUUUUUAAUCUAUUAGACCUCUUUUAUUAUAUUAAAGCAAUUUUUAAUAAUAAAUAGAAACAAAAUAUUAAAAUAAAAAUUAUUUUGACUAUUAUGUAAAAGUUAAUUUUAAUAUUAUUAAUAGAGAGAUUUUUUAAAUUGUAAAAUCUAUUUAACCCAAAGAUUAUUUAAAAUCUUUUUAAUAUUACAAUUAUAUUAUUAAAAUAAAUAUAAUAAUCUAAAAUUUUAAUAUUAUUUUAAAUGUUAAAAAUAAUUUAAUAUUAUUAGUCUACCAAAUAGAUUUAUAUUAUUUAUAUAAAAUUUGUGUUAGUUAAAAAUUUUUAAAAUCAAUUUUUUAAUUAAUAUAAUCAAAAGUAAUUGUGGGCAAAAAAAAGUUUUUGUAUCUUUUUUUUAAGACUUAAAGAGUUUUUUGUAACUAUUUUCCCAAAUCUUGGAAUGUAGUUAUUCUUUUUCUUUUUUUAUCCCAUCUCAGUUUUUUUACAAGUAUUCAAAUAUUAGUACGUGAAAUAUAUUUUAAAAUAUCCAUCAAUUUAUUAUUUCUUAAAGUACCUUUUAUUAAUAAAUAGCAUAAUACACACGAAGCACCAUUGAUAUUGAUGUUCAUACAUCUGAAUCAAUUUUCGAGUCUACGUCAUGAUUUCUACGUCACGAAUUCUCUUAUUUAAGGCAAACCUCAUAGAGGCAAUCACAAAACAUGAAGAAAAUUGAUUUUGUUCCUAGUCCUCACUUUCUAAAAAGAAUUUUUGUUGAAGCUAUAUAUAUAUAUAUAUAUUGAAUCUUUUGAAAAAAAUUGCUUCCUGAGCAUAUGAUUUCUUGCUGGGUUUCUUCAAUUGCUCUUCUUGUUCAGUUGUUAAAACUUUCCAGUUUCCUCUCUGUAGUACAAAGAAUAUUUGAUCAUUGAAGUGCCACCUUCGUAGUGUUAAUUUCGGUGAUGGAGUCCGCUGCUCAAGUGAGGGAUAUCGAUGCUUUGUAUGAGCUAAUUCGACAUGAUCAAUAUUUUUUGGACAACUUUGACGAGAAACCUUUUGUCGAUACUCCUUUGCAUGCUGCUGCAAGGGAUGGAAAUGUUGAAUGGUCCAUGGAGAUUAUCAGACUAAAGCCAUCAUUUGCCAGGAAGCUAAACCAAGAUGGCUUCUCUCCGGUGCAUUUAGCUUUGCAAAAUGAUCAAACUCAGUUAGUGCUUCAGCUGAUAGAUAUUGAUCCGGACCUUGUUCGUGUCCAAGGAAGAGAAGGCAUCACUCCUUUGCAUUUCGUGUCUGAAAAAGGAGACAUCCAUCUGUUGAGGGAAUUUUUGUCUGCUUGUCCGAAAUCUCUUGAAGAUGUGACCAAUAAAGGCGAGACUGCUCUUCAUAUUGCUUUGAAAAACAAUAACGUCGAAGCUUUUGAUCAAGCCUUAACAACAGUACAACCACCGUGGUUUGACCUUGAAGAAGCUCAACAAUACAAUCCAGGAAUCCUCAACUUGAAGGAUAGGGAUGGCAACACUUUGUUACACAUAGCAACAUCCAAAAGUCAAGUCCAGGCAAGCUCGAAUUCACACACACACAUAUAUAGAAAUUUUCCAAUGAGGUGCAGGCACCCUCAUUUUUUCCUUUUUAAUAUAGACAUGCUGUCUUUUCUUUUUUAAUAUAGACAUGCCGUUAAAUCACGUGCUUUAAUAUAGAUAAUUCUUAAUUCAUUAUAAAGCCAUAUAUUUUAAUAGCAUACCUGUAUAUAGUUUAAUAACGUAUCCGCAUGAGAAAAAAAUGAAAGUGUUUGCAUGAAAAAAAGGACUAUAUAAAUAUAUAUAUAUAUAUAUAUAUAGUAUCUAAUGAACUUAUCUUUAUUUCAACAAAGUAAGGAUGCCAUUAAUAAAUAUAAAAAGAAAAUCUUGAAUAAAUUAAAAUAUGUGUUCUUUUGUAUUUUAUUUACAUCUUUACUUCAUUAAAGUUUCUCUCAUAUACGGUCACAAAUAAAAUUCACAAAUAAAAUUCAGUUGAAUGAUGAUUAGACAGAUUAUUGCUAUUUCCACUUCCUGAUGAUGUCUAAAUUGAUGAAUUUGCUCAUCCAAAGCAGAUUGUAAGGCGUUUAUGGAAUUGCAAAGUUGAUACAAAUGCCCAGAAUUCGGAAGGUUUGACACCUUUAGAUAUUUCAUUACUUGAUCAAACUAAAUCAGAAAACCAAGAGAUUGCGGCAAAGCUGCGGGAAGCUGGAGCACUAGAGGCAACUUCACUUCCUACUACCGACAAGGAUAGACAUUUAUCGAGGUAACAGGAACACUGCUCUUUUACUAAAUUACAGUCCAUUUAUCGAUUAUCUUUUUAAAAACAAUAUGGCAUUUUCAUACUAUGUACAUCUCAAAAAUUGUUUAAUGUCCUUCAGAAGUAAGGAUCAGAGGCUGAACGAGGCUGCUAAAACAGGAAAUGUUGAUGCCUUGUAUGAAUUAAUAUGUGAGGACGCAUAUCUUUUAGAUCAGAUAGACGAAGUACCAUUCGUGGAUACUCCUUUACAUAUAGCAGCAUCAAUGGGGCAUGUCAACUUUGCCCUGGAGAUAAUGAGGUUAAAGCCAUCAUUUGCAAGAAAGCAAAACCAAUAUGGAUUUAGUCCCCUGCAUCUUGCUUUGCAGAAGAAAGAUACCCAAAUGGUGCGUCGGCUCAUAGAUGUGGACAGAAAUCUUGUUCGUGUCCAAGGAAGGGAGGGUGUAACGCCUCUACACUAUGUUGCUGAGAAAGGAAAUGUCGAUAUUCUAUGCCAACUUCUAGAGGCUUGCCCUGAGUCCAUCACAGAGGUGACAAUCCGUAAAGAGACUGCUUUGCAUGUUGCUGCAAAAAAUGACCAGUUGGAGGCCGUUGAGUGCAUGCUAGGAUGGCUUCGAUAUGUCGAUAUGGAGGAUAUCCUUAACUGGACGGACGAUGAAGGCAACACUUUAUUGCAUAUCACAAUCUCCAAAAGUCAAAUAAAGGCAUGAAAUUUUUUUAAAUUUUACUUCAGUUAGUCCCUAUAUUUUCAUGAUUAUUAAUUGCAUGCAUAUAUAAAUAUAUCCUUGCAGUUGGUGAGGCUACUAGUUAAAAGAGCACGUGAUCAAAUAAAUGCUCGGAACUUAGGCGAUAAGACACCCAUGGACAUGGUAGAAGAACAUUUGCGAGGGAAACCUGAAUUUAAAGAAGUAACACGCAUGGUGCGCAAAGCUGGCGGCCGACAAGAGUCCUCCCCUCCUCCUCGUAGGGACGUUGCAGGUUACUUAAAACAAGGUUUGACAUGUCGUCGAAAGGUGCUUUUGUUCUUUUACCGCUCAUCACAGCGCAUUACGGAUGAAAAUCGAAGCGCACUACUUGUGGUUGCUAUACUAAUCGCGACAGCCACAUUCCAAGCAGCGCUUACCCCGUCUGACGAUCUUGAGGGAAAUAAGUCAACUGGAACCCCCAACUCUAUUGCCACUAAUGGAUCACACUCAUCAUCGACAUCGGCAUCGACGUGGGCAUCAGUAUGGGCAUCAGUAAACCAAUCAGGAACAGCAAAUGCAACGGCCUUUGGUGUGAGCAAUGGAACCAGCAGCAGCAUCCCAACAAGUGACAAGAUUCUAUUCGCUCCGGGGCAAUUAUAUCCUGAAGCCAUUAGUGAUACGAUCUCCACACUUUUCGCAUUUUCAAAUAUUACAGCAUUUUUUAUAUCUAUGCUGGUGAUUAAUUAUCACCUCCCGUAUGGCUCCGCAGCUACUCUGGUAUAUCCUCUAGUUAUUUGCUUUUGCCUGUUAGUGGUUGGCAGAACCCCGGUGUCGCUACUUGCCUCACUUUCAAUGCUUAUCGUCUUUCGGAUUUGUUUAUUUGUACAACUGGACUUCUCCAAGAUUCGAUUUAGACGAAGCUUCUGGAUUACACAAGUUUUGGGCUCCGUUUUCAAACAUUAUAGAAGCUUCCUCAAUAAGAUAAUGAAAGAUGCUGAAAAAUAGCUAUAAUGCCAAUAUGCUGCCAUGGAUAAAACACAUGUCCGUUGGUCUGUUGAUGUUCUCUGCUGGCUUGGCUUUAUCUACUUAGUGUGACACUUCCUCUCAAGUAAUAUUGCUGGUUUUAUUUUGCGUAAGAAGGUGUGCUUUUGUGUACUGUAUUUUCUGAAUUAUGUUCGUUUGCUUUUGCUUCAUUUUGUAAGGUCUUCGCAUGUUUCAAUGUAAUAUUAAUUACUCUUGUUGUAUCUGAUAGUUGUACUGUUCACCUUCGUGACUGUGAAUAUAAUGAUGUUAAUUUAAUUAAAACUAUAUGCUUGUUUGUUUGAUAAGAAAAUGAAGGAAAAUUUAUUGACUUAGAGAGGAAAAACAGAGAUUGAAACUAUAUGCAUCUGGAACUUUCCAAGUGUAACAGAAUCAUAUACACACUCUCUGAUAUUCACCAUAACAAUUUGGUGGGAAAUAAAAAACUUUUAACAACUUGCAUUACAAUCUUCCAGUAGGUUCCAGCAGCUUGUCCAGCUUGGCAUCUGACAUCAAUUAGUUGACUCAACUUAUUCUUAACAAAUUUUUAUGAACAUAUGAAAUAUCAAUAUCAUUGGGCUUUUGAUGCUCCCACCCACAGGCUACUUAAAAUUGUACCUAUAAAAGUCUGUUAGAAGAAAAGCUGAUUCAAAAUACUUACGGCAAUAUAUGAAGAAAAACAAUCAACAAACAGCAAACACACAAACAUAGCAAUAAAAGAAGACAAGGCAAUGUUUGAUGAGAUUAAAAAGCUGACACAUGUAGCAUAUAUAUUUACGUUUUCUUGGAGAGAGGAAACCGCUGUUGGAUCUUCAUUGAUGAACCCUUCAACAGGCCUCCAAAAGGCUCUGCUGGGUCAUAAUAAAUCGCAACAUCCCCUGGCCUAAUUGAUUCAUCAACCUAUGUAUCAGGUUUUUCAUUCAUCAGCAAAGAGUUUCAGCAAUUGAUCUAAAAAAUAAAGACUGCUUUUGACACUCUAUAUAUAUGUGUGUGUGUGUGUGUGUCUUUUCCAGACAUUAGCAGAUCUAAAAUACUGUAGUAGAACAUACAUACAUAUGUAUAUGUAUAUAUAUCCAGCGGCUCAUGGAGCCCUUUUUCUUUUUUUCUUUUUAUUUUGCAGGCUGCACGUGGUGGGAGCGCCCUUUAUCCUCCUCUUUUUUUUUUUAAUUUUGCAGGCUGCGCGUGGUGGACCUUUGAUGUCCCGCAUCGGAUUACUAUCCUCUCUCUCUCUCUCUCUAUAUAAUUGUCCAGUUAUUUCUAAAUUUUAAGCAAUUUAGAUUUAGUGAUGAUUUAAAUGUCAAAAUUUAAAAUUUUUAUUUUUCUUUUUGAAAUUUCGAUAUCCAAGAGAUUGCAGUAAUAAUAACCCAAUUAAACUUCCACCAGUGAAACCACUUCUCCAUGAGAUCUUAUUGUAAAUGCACAAAAAGUUGAGGGUACCAUGCAUAUACAGGAGCGCCGUAGCUGAACCCUCAAAUUAUUUAAUUGAGGACAAAUUGUAAAAAGAUAACCUUAUUAUCGAAGUCAUGGAGUUCUAAUAUGAAAAUGGCUAUAGCUUUCUAUUGGAACAGAAGCCUGUUAAAAUAUAAUAUUUCUCUCUAAAAUCAUCUAACAAAUUAAUAAUGAAGAUUUCUUUAUAAUGUUGUAUGAGUUUUUAUAGUAUUAAUAGUCGAAUUGUUGUAGAUUCUUGAAUUUUAAUGUUUUAAUCUCUACCAUUCAUUUGAUAUAGUGGAUAAAAAAAAUUAAUUAUUUAAAUAAUAACAGGUAACCUUCAGGUUGCAAGUAAAUGUGGAUUUUUUUUUUUAAAGAAAAUUUAUAUUAUGUUGGAUAAAAACCCCACAUUCAAUGGUGGGAUCAUUUGAUUUAAUAUUAUAAUCUUUACCCUUAAUUUAAUUUUAAUAGUUAAGUAAUUAUGUAGCAAAUAAUUUGCAAGUUGUGAUAUUUCUUCAUACUUUAAAUUAUUUUUUAUCUAAUCAACUGAUAAAUACAAAUAAUUAAUUUUGGAAUUAAAAUUGUUAUGUACUGGUUCUAUCACUUUACAAUUUUACAUUUUUUUUUUUGCUUUUACAUUUAGCAUUAAAAAUAUAUGUAAUAACAUUAAAAUAAAUGUAAUUAACCAGUAAUAUUAUUUCAACAAUACUUUAUUUAAAGAUAUUUCAUAAAAUCUUAUAACAAUUUGUAUUGUAUGAAUUUAAUUACAAAGCCAUUAAUACUUAGACAAUAAUGAAUUGGCAAUGGAGAUUAUUAAGCUAAAGCCUUCAUUUGCCAAGAAGCCCAACCAAGAUGGCUUCUCUCCCAUGCACUUGGCUUUGCGAAAAUGGUCAAACUCAAACAGUGCUUCAGUUGAUAGAUACUGAUCCGGAACUCGUUCGUGUUAAAGGAAGGGAAGGCAUCACUCCUCUGCAUCAUGCGUCUGAAGAUGGAGACCUGUAUCUCUUGGAGAAAUUUUUGUCUGUUUGUCUGAAAUCUCUUGAAGAUGUGACAAAUAAAAGCGACACUGCUCUUCAUAUUGCUUUGAAAAACGAUAAGGUUGAAGCUUUUCAAGUCCUAACAAGAUGCCCUCCGUCGGUCAUUGGCCUUAAAGAAGCUGAUCAAUGCUACAACAAAAGAAUCCUCAACUCGAAAAAUAGGGAUGGCAGCACUCUGCUACACAUUGCAACAUCAAAAAAUCAAGUCCAGGCAAGCUUGAAUUAAUAUGCUAAAAAAAUCGGUUGAGUGAUUACAUUAUUGAUAUUGCCACCUGUUUUUUGUUUUAAAGUUUCAGAGUUUGUAUAUUACAUAGUGUCGCGCCUUCUAUUUUUGUGAGCUGUAGAGCUCUCACUCACACCUAACUUACUUAGGACCGUUUUCUAAGUAUUUAGGGAGUAGAUGAUUCCUAAUUAAUUAGAUUAGGAGUAAGUUUUUCUAAAGAUAAUCAUGCACAUAUUAUUAUGUUUUCCCUUUUAAGUAUGGUUUCUUCUCAUUCGAUUAGGAUACCUUAUAGUAGCAAUAUUACUUAAGACUUGUAUAUAAAGACCUCUUUGCAAGCAUAUAAUACAACAAGAUCUAAGCCAUAAUUAAUUUGCUCUCUAAGUUCCCACAUUCUCUCUUUCUUUGCCGUGAUGCUACAUUAAGAGUGUGAAAAUCAGAAAAAGGACAAAAGACCCCUGUGGUUUAGUGAAAUAGUUAUGAAACCUACUUAUUUUUAGAAAUAAUCAUAAAUACACCUUUUAGGAUACACAAACCCAAUUUAUUUGCCAAACUUUAGGGGUCUAUAUGACUUUUCUAAAUGUGAAAAUGAUUUACAUGUCCCCAAAAGGGGUAAUGUCGGACUAUUUCUGAAAACAAUCAGUCUCUAUAUGAUCAAUUUACUGAAUUUAUGAGUGUUGAUGUCUUUUUUCCUACUACAUCUUAUAGCUUAAACACAGACUCACAAGCAAAUAAAGAAUUGAUUUUUUCCAUAUUAAACAUGUCUCAUUACGUUAUUCUAGUUUUGUACCAUAUUGUUACAUUCCUUCAUCAUCUAGACCUAAUAUCAAUGGCUUUCAAUCAAUUACAUUACAUUACAAAAUGAUGUAGAAGAUAUCAUAUGAUAUUUGUCUUAUUACAGUAUUACACAUGACAUUGCAACCUUAAUUAAUAUAAUCAACCUAGAGUGUUCUUGCUCUACAAGUUAUACACUAGGUGAAAUCAUAGCCCUUGAUUUUGACACUUGAUGAAGAUUCAAUCAUUACUUGAUAACUUGUAGAAUUCAAAUCAAAUGCUUCUCUGAAGCAUUUCAUCAAACAACUUAUUCCAAAUAUCAAACACCCACUCUUUUAACUUCAAAACUACCUAACGACUUUGUAUUCACAUGUCCCAGCAGAUUGUAACGAGUUUAUUGAACUGCAAAGUUGAAAUAAAUUCUUUGAAUUCUGAUGGCUUGACACCUUUAGAUAUUACAUUACUUGAUCAAACUCAGUCAAGAAAUCAGGAGAUUGAGGAUAUGCUAUGCAGCGCUGGAGCAUUAGAAGCAACUCCACUUCCUAUUAUGGCCAACUGCACAAAUGUAUUGAGGUAAAACAACUCUUUUGCUAAACUAUGGUCCAUAUAUGGAUAAUAAUUUUAAAUAAUAUAUUUCAUUAAUUUGCAUUUUCCAUGUUAUGCACAUUGUAAUUACUUGCUAAGAAUAUUGCUUAAAUCAAUUAAUUAAUGUCCUUCAGAACGGAUCAGAGGUUGAACGAGGCUGCUCAAGUAGGAAAUGUUGAUGCCUUGUAUGAAUUAAUAUGGGAGGACGCAUAUCUUUUAGAUCAGAUAGACCGGGUACCAUUUGUGGAUACACCUUUACAUAUAGCAGCAUCGAUGGGGCAUGUCAACUUUGCCUUGGAGAUUAUGAGAUUGAAGCCAUCAUUUGCAAGAAAGCAAAACCAAUAUGGGUUUAGCCCUUUGCAUCUUGCUUUGCAGAAUUCACACACUCAAAUGGUGCUUCGGCUCAUAGAUGUCGAUAGAAAUCUUGUUCGUGUCCAAGGAAGGGAGGGUGUAACGCCUCUACACUAUGUGGCUGAGUGAAGAAAAUAUGAAACGAAGUGUUUGGCUUAAAAGAAAAUAACAGAGAAAAUAAUCUUCUGAUUUUCCAGAACUUUUAUUUUCAUAUAAAGAAUGAUUACAUCACUUCUAUUUAUACUAACUAAACAAUAACUAAUUAAGAAUCAACUCCAGCUAAUCAUUUUUUCAGUACACACUGUGAGUAAUAACAAACUUUAACUAAUUAUGCUAAGCUAGCAGUCUGGACUGUUGCGUUGCUUAACAGCUUCUGAUAGUUUGACUUGAGUUGACCCAAGCUUUGUUUUCUCAUGCUCUGCAUAAUGUGCUUCCUUAACACUGAGAAGGGAAAUGUCGAUCUUCUAUAUAAAUUUCUAGCAGCUUGCCCAGAGUCUAUCCUGCAGGUGACAAUUCGAAAAGAAACUGCUCUGCAUGUUUUUUUCGAAAUAUUAGAGGGACUUUUAUCCAUAUGUCUAAACGUUGUGAGUGUGUUAGUCUUUUUCCCUAUUUACAAGUACAAUUGUAAAUUUAUUUUCCCAUUCUUCUUCCCUUCUCUUCAAAAUUCAGCCCGAUUUUCUCCAUUUAAUCAUUCGCAUCUACAACAUUGCAAAUCUAGAAUUAGAAUUAAAAAUUCUUAUGAUUUUCCAAUACCAAUAAGUCAGUAAAUCAACUAUUAUAGUCAAAACCAAACCCUAAAAUAAAAUUAUCAUUUUUUUCCUUCAUCCUGUUCUCAAAAGGGGUUAUCUUUGUUGCUAGGCAUGUGGUGUUUAACGAAUCAGAAUUUCCUUUCUCUACGGAUCCUCAAUUCUCUAAGCAAUCUUCUACCUCUGUUUCCGAGUAUAGACAUCCUAUGUUUAAAACUUCUUCUGUGUUAGUUCUGCUACAUGAUCCUUCAGGCUCAAGUGACAACACUGUACAACAGCUUCAGCUCCAUGCAGUUCCAGCUUCCUCUUCUUCCUCUAGUUCUUCAUCAUCAUCACCUUUACCUCCAAAUCCAUAUUUCCCUGAUCCUUAUCACAAUAUGUCCCAUAAUUCCCAACACUCUUCUUCUUCUACAUCUAUUGUGCCUAUUCCACAGCCUUCUGUCCCUGCUCAUGUACCAUUGGCAACUCAUCCAAUGGUUACAAGAGCAAAAGCAGGAAUAUUUAAGCCAAAGUUUCUUGCAUAUUCUUUUGUUCUUGAAGAACAUGAACCUGCUACAAUUUCUCGAGCUCUCUCAAAUCCUAAACGGAAAGCAGCAAUGCAGGCUAAGUAUGAUGCACUCAUGAAAAAUGAAACUUGGGUUCUUGUUCCAACCUCUCAAGCUACUAAAGUUGUUGGUUGUAAAUGGGUGUUUCACAUUAAGUAUAAUGCAGAUGGCUCUAUAUCUGAGUACAAAGCUCGUUUGGUUGCAAAUGGGUUUCAUCAAACCCCUGGUAUUGAUUACUUUGAGACUUUUAGUCCAGUGGUUAAGCAAUCUACUAUGAGAAUUGUACUUAGUCUUGCUGUUAUGAAGAGCUGGAAAAUAAGGCAGAUAGACAUCAACAAUGUUUUCCUUAAUGGGCAGCUCAAUGAAGAUGUUUACAUGUUUCAACCUGAGGGAUUUGUCUAGCUUUCAUCUGGUCAUGUUUGUAAAUUGCUUAAGGCUCUUUAUGGUCUAAAACAGGCUCCUAGAGCCUGGUUUGAUUGGUUAAGGAAAGCAUUGUUGAAGUGGGGGUUUCAGAGCUCAAGAACAGAUUCAUCUUUAUUCUUUAAACAUGAACUUGGAGGUAUUGUUGUUGUGUUGAUAUAUGUUGAUGACAUUCUUAUUACUGUAGAUAAUAAUACAGUGAUUGAAAGGUUCAUCAAAUAUCUUGGAGAUACUUUUGCUUUAAAAGACCUUGGUGAAUUCAAUUACUUCCUUGGUAUUGAAGUUACUCAAGGUACAGAGGACAACUUACAUCUCUCACAAGCCAAAUAUGUAAGAGAUUUGCUCACAAAAACUGCAGAGAAAGUGAUACUCCAAUGAGUACAAGACAGAAACUAAGAAGAGCAAGAAAUGAAGAUAAUUUGAUUGUUAAUGUUACUGAAUAUAGAAGCAUAAUAGGUGCAUUGUAGUAUUUGGUACUCACAAGGCCAGAGCUUGCUUUCUCAGUAAACAAGUUGAGUCAAUUUCUUGCUGCAUCUACAGAGAAGCAUUGGACUGCUUGUAAGAGAAUUCUAAGAUACUUAAAGACAACUGAGGAUUAUGGCUUGCUAUUUAAACCAGGUGGUGGUGUUGUCUUAACUGCAUAUACUGAUGCAGAUUGGGCAUGUGAUGUUGAUGAUAGGAAAUCAGUUGGAGCAUAUUGUGUUUAUCUUGGGCAAAAUCUUAUUUCAUGGUCUUCUGAGAAGCAACAAACAAUAGCUAGAUCUAGCACAUAAUCAAAAUAUAGAGCAUUAUCAACAUCAUGUGCAGAAAUCGUUUAGGUUCAGGCUUUGCUUGGUGAACUUAAUAUUAAGUGCAAUCAAACACCAAUAAUCUGGUGUGACAACAAUGGUACUGCUGCAUUGACAACAAAUCCAGUAUAUCAUGCUAAAACCAAGCACAUAGAAUUAUAUGUACAUUUCAUAAGAGAGAAUGUGACAAAUAAACAAGUGGAAAUCAAGUAUGUGCCUAGUGAAUGGAAUAUUGCAGAUGUGCUUACAAAGCCUAUGGCUUACUGCUUUUUUAAUUACUGUAGGACAAGCUUAAUGUUGUUUCAUGACCGUUAAGCUUGAGGAGGAGUGUUAAGAUGCUUAAUCAACAGCAGUAGACCAGUGGCUGAGAUUUGUGCGACAAGGAUUGCUGAGCUGGACAAAUUAGUUAAGUUGUUGUAAUUAGUUUUAGUUUAGCCAAUAGAUGUAUUACAGUUGUACAAAAGGUUGUUAUUACUGUUGAUCAACAAUAUAAGUUUGCUACGAGCUAAAUGUAAUUCAUAUAAUUCAUAUCAAUAAAAUUUUCUCUGAUUUAGUUACUUUUCUUUCUUCUUUCCGUCACUUUCCUACUAACCAAACAAACUAUCAACCUAAGAUCCGUGAGUUCUAACUUUUACAAAUGUAAUAAUUACCAUGAAUUUACAAAAACUUGCAGCAAAUAUUUGUGUCCCAAUAGGUUGACAAUUGCAACACAUAUCGAAAAACUGUAAUAGUACCCUUCAUUAUAAUUACUUGACCAUAGUCAGUGGCGAACUAUGUAUACGCCUGGCAGCCGAGGUGUCGAGAAUUUAAUUUAACAGGGGUGCCUAAGUUCAAACACUAACAUAAUUUAAAAAAUGGUCAAUAAAUAACAAAUAUUAAAAUAUUUAGGGCUAGUUUGGUAAUCUUAUAACUUUUAAAAUAAUUGUUGUUACUUUCGCUGUAAAAAUAAUAAGUUGUGAAUAGAAUUAGUUAAACGUUUGACAAAAUUUCUUCUUAAAAGUGCUUUUGUAAAUCUCAUUGUUGAACUAUUAUAAGAGUUUAAAUGAUUAAAAUGGACAUAAUAUUAAAUAAAAUAUAUUAUAUAGAUAUAAAUACAUACAUAUAAUAUUUUUUAUUAUGUAUAUUAGUAAUUGAUAACUAAAUAAUUAUCUUUAUUUUAUUAAUUAUUUUUUAUCUCAAUAUAAUUAAUAAUAAUAAUAAUAAUCUCUAGAUUUAAUAAUUUUAUUUCCUAAUUGAAUAAGAAUAAUUUUAGAUUUUUAUAAUAUAUGUAAGGAUAUAUAUGGAAUUUUAUUAAUUAGAAAACUUAUCCUAAAAAUUAGAUUUUGAAAGCCUACUUCUUUUUUGCUUUCCAAAAUAUACUGUAUAUAAGAUACAGUGAUUUUACCGAAAGUGAUUUAAAAAAAAAAAAUCUACCAAACAGUAAAAUUAAAGUUUAACUUUUAAAAUCACUUUUAAGUCUCUCAAAACUAAUCCCAAAUAGGCCCUUAUUUCAAUACAAUUAUAAUUGUUCUCAUGUAUUUUCAUAUGUUAAAAAUAUUGAAGAAUAACCUCAUUAUCAUUACUACAAACAUAUUUUCUUCUACGUAUACAAUAAAACUAUCAUUCAACAAUUGGUUUCCCAUAUGAUUUUGUGGAAGCUUUUUCAGAAAAUUCAUAGCUGAAAAUACCCUUUCUAAUUUAGUUGUGUUACUUGAUAAAAUCAUUGCUAAUGUUACCAACAUAUAAAUUAAUGAAUACAACUAUCCAUUAUCUCAACCAUUUUUCUUGCUAACUCACCAGUCUCUUUUAAUCUUAAAAAUGUUGUCAAAACCCACAUUCAUAAUAUAAUCAUCAAGUUGAAUUUCAAGUGCCAUAAUGCAACAAUCUUUCUUUAUGGGUUCAAAGUGUUAAAAAGAAUAUUUAAUAUUUUACUUGUUUUUAAAUUUUAACAAGGGCGUUAUGGUAAAUCAAAUAAAAAUAGGACAAAUAUUAAAAUAAAUUUUAAAAAAUUAAAAAAUUGAAAAAGGGUUUCAGCCCCUGUUAAAAUGGCACCACAUCUAAAGCCUAGGGUGCCUUGAGGCAACAUACCAAUAAUAAUAAUAAAGAAAGAAAUCAAGAAAAAAGAGACAUAAUAAUAAGUAGUAACAUUAGCAAUGUUAAUUAUAUUUUAUGUUUUGACCCCUAUAAUUUUACAAGUUGAUUUUAUGUUACCGCCUACUCAAAUUUAUGGUUUUGGUCAUUGUGUUUGGCCCUCUCAAUUUUAGUGAUUCUAUACUGUAUGAAAUGUAAGUUAUGCAACCCAAGAGGGGGGUGAAUUGAGAUUUUAAAACUUACGCUAAACAAUUCGCACAACAAUUUAAUGUAUUGCCUUAAUCAAAUGUAAAAACAAUAAAUUCAGUAAAGCACAAUACUAAAAGAGUAAGUACAAUAAUAAAAGAGUAAGGGAAAAGAAAGCAAACACAACAAUUUUUACGUGGUUCGGCAAUCCCCGCUUACGUCCACGCCUCCAAGCCAACCAAACUCGAGGAUUUCACUAUCAAAGCCUCCCCAAAGCUUUAAGUUCUUACAAUUAACUUCCAAGGUGUCAAUGAACCUUUACAAUGAAGAGAUUAUCUCCCCAAUCUAUUCACCUGAAGUGUUUCUCACACUUGUACACUUACAAUUUGAUGAGAAAUGAACAAUUACAACAAAAACUCUCUUUAAGAGUGGAUUUACAAAUAAUAGCAUAAUAAUAAUUCAAUAAAUGAUGAUUUACGAAAUGGAACCUCAAUAUGUGUUAUAUGAUCUUAUUUAUGCUUGCAUUAGUCUUGAAAAUGAAAAUGGAGUUAAGGUUUUAUAGCUAAAGCCCGAAAACUAACCGUUAUAGGCAAAUUCCAGCGCUCAAGCGGUUAGCCGCUUGAUUUAUCCAGCUAGCCGCUCCAGAACAAUGAUGUUACCAUUAAAUUUGAAUUUUGCUACAAUAUCAUUGUUCAUUAAAUUACAUUUGUGACCAAAACUUUGUAUAAUUAUAUUAUAGCCCAACAUGUCAUAAAACUUUGCAAAUAAGUCUAAUUUCAGAAUUUCUAAAUAAUACCUGUCAUUCCUAAAUCUUAUUGUAAUUAUGAUAUGACCUAGUAUAUAAUAACAUUUUUCAAAAAGGUCCUUUUCAAAAUUUAAAAUAAUACCCAUAAAUUUUAAAGUUCUCAAAUCUUUUCAAUUUAGUCCAAAAUUUGAAAAUAUGAGACUUUCCUCAGGUGGUUAGCUGCUCACUCUCUGUCCAAUUUUUUAUUUCAAUUGUUUGUAUUAUGUUUGGGUCCUCAAACUUUCUUAAAUUGUAAUAUGACCCAAAAUAUUUCAAAUAUUUGCAAAUAAAUCUAAAUUCAAAAUUCAAAAUUCAAAGCAAUAUUUAAUAAAAUAAAAGAUUGCAAAACUUUUUCAUUUUAGUCCAAAUUACUCAAAUCCACAAAAUACUUUAUGUUAUAAAUAUAAAACCUUUUAGUUUAUGAAAGGUAAUUAUUUAAAUAAACUCUUGAGUUUCUCAAAUGCUAAAUCAUGCAUCAAUUAAAUCAUACCGACUUUACAAGAAUUUGUCACAAUAAUUUGUCUGUUGAGCUCUAAACUUAUUCUUGAUUUUGCCGUUGUCCGUUGAGUGUCUUGAACUUGAUUCACUUGCAUAAAUAUUAUCCUUAAAAAACUAGUAAAAAUGUGAAAUACAAUAUUUAUUAAAUCACUUAAGACACAUAUUUGUUAUCAUCAAAAUUAUAUUAUGGAUAGCCCUUUAGGGUAACAUUGUGGCUUACUCAAGUAUAUAGUUUCUUCAUUCGGCCCCAAAACCAAAAUCCUAAGAGUAUCUCCAAAAAGUUCUAUUAAUUUUACUCUUCAAAUAUUUAUUUGCUUAUCUAUGUGGUAAAAAGGAGAGUGAAAAAAUAUGUUAUUCUCCAAAAGACUCUUUAAAUAGAAAUAAGUUAAUAUUAUUUUAAUCAAAUAAAUAUUUUUUCAAAGGAAAAAUAAAUGGUAAUUAAAGCAUUUCUCUCUCUCUUUCUCCCCAAUAAAAAAUAAUAAAAUAUAAAUUGAAGAGAGAGAAAGUAACUCUACAAAUUGAAGAGAGAGAAUUAUUUCUUAUUUGAAAAAUCUUAAUUAGAGUAUAUUUUGAAGUCUUAAAUACUGAUGUAACUCUUCAAAUAAGUAAUAAAAUCUUAUUUGAAGAUUUUUUUGGAUAUGCUCUAACUUCACCACUAGAUUUACUUGAGUAUUCAACAAUACCCGACUUACUUGAGCGUAGAUGAUUUAGUUAUACUUAAUUGACUACUAAAACAAUUUAUUCAACUUACUCGACGAUACUUUACUUAGCUCACUCCAUGUACUAAUAUUUUACUAUUUUUCUAAGUGGUACAUUUAAUUACAAAAAUCCAUGAAAAUUUGAUAAUGAUGAAAUGCUUAAUAAAUAAGGGUAUUUGGUCAAAUCAUAACAAUGUUUGUUAAACACUGGUCUAAUAAUAAGUAGUCAUUUUCUGAUGAAAUAAAAUUAAAGCUGAAAAAAUUUAACAUGACUGGUUUACUCUAUACAAAUACAAUAUGAAUAAAUAUGUAUCUAUCAUGAAAAUUGACAUGAUUAUUAAAUGAAUUUGGUCUAAGUCAACCCAAUUGUUUCCCGUGUCAGGCUAGAAUUCAAUUUUUCAAUGCAUUUACUUGGUCAAUGACGUGAUUAUUAAUUAGUUAACCAAAACUAAUUCAUAUUUGCAUUAAAAUAUACUUAUAUUUUCAAUUCUAAAUUAAUUUAUAGAAUCUUAUCAUUAAAACUCAAAAUUUGGUCAUGAUUCUAGUGAACAUAUAUUUGAUGUUCUAUUUUGUAAAAUUCUUGAUAGAUUUAAAACUUCAAUGGUUCAUACAUGUUGUAUUUGCAUCAAAUGAGUGUGUAGUAUUUGAUGUAAAUCGUGUUAGAAUUUAAAUAGGUAUUCAGUGAAUUUUUAGGUUAAAUCAUGUUAGAUGACACAACUACCUAGUCAUUAAAAGAGCGUAUCAAGUCACUAUUUUAUUUUUCGUAUCGAGUUCAAGUUUUAAUAUUUUAACAUUUUAUUUUUCGUAUCAAGUUUAAGUUUUAAUAUUUUAACACAAUUAUUAAAUAAGUCGUGUUUUAACCAACAUAAAUUUAAAACAACACAAAAUUGACACAAUAUGAGUGGCUUAAUGACCUAUUUUGUUAGUUUUAUUUAAAACCCUCUAAUCUAUAAAAAAAAAUAAAAAACGGUCCAUGGGCCUAGCCCAAAUAUAUAUCCAACAAAACCAGCUCCCGCUCAAAUCACACUCUCUCGGUCGUUCCCUUCACUCUCCAAAACCCCCCAUUCCAAACAAAACCCUCAUUUUUCCCUCUUAACGAAGUCACUUUCUCGAGAACCAAACAUUCCCUUAGAUCUCCAAUUUCAUAAUGAGAGAAGAUGAAAUAGAGAAACUUCGAGGAUUGGUUCGCGACUGUGUGAGUAAGCAUUUGUACUCGUCGGCCAUUUUCUUCGCCGAUAAAAUCGCCGCUUUGAUCAAUGACCCUACUGGCGUUUACAUGCAGGCUCAGGCUCUGUUCCUUGGCCGCCACUACCGCCGUCCAUUUCACCUCCCUAACGCCUCAAAAAUUGUGCUCCGUGACCUCCGAUUUCGUUACUUGGCUGGUAAGUGUCUGGUAAAGUUCUGUUUUUUGAUUGCAUUAGAAAAUUUGAAUUUCAGAUUUUGGGAUUUGUGCUUUUUGCGUUUUUAGUUUUUUUUUUAAUGUUAUGAAAAAGGGAAAUUUUGAAAAUUUUAACUUGAAAUUGGUGUUCUUUUUAUUUUAGAACAAAAGAAUUUCAAUGAAAAAUAUGUGGAAAUUGAAUUGCUCUAGCAAAUUUGCAUGUGUUGUGUGUUUUAAGAAAAUGAAAACUAGAUUUUAAGCAAUUAAGGAGAAAUUAUCGACUUUGAGCUGAAUGGUUUUGAUCAAUUUUUUCUUGAAUGUUUAUUUGUUUAUACAACUGGGUAGUUUUUCUUUUACUUAUUUAUUUCUGGUCUGUCCUUUGUAUAAUUAGGAGGAACUGAAGGAGUGGGACUAGUGUUUGUCGAUGCUCGGUGAUGCUAAGGUCGAUGAAGAUGGUAAUGUUUUUGACACAAAGGAUAGCAAUGUCAUGUACUUAGAUAAAGAUGGGGAAGACAGAGAAAUCAAUGUAAGUUUUUGUUUGUAAUCUCAUUUUAUCUGGCCUUUUAUUUUUUAAUUUGUUGCAUAUUUGUUGUAUACUUGACCCAAUAUUUCUUUUUUCUAUUACAGAUCUCUUCAGCUAUAUGCUUUUUGAGAGGCAAAGCAUAUGAAGCCUCAGGAAAUUGUGCCCAAGCUCGGCUGUGGUUAGUUUCUUGCGAUGAAUUUACAUGAAAAUCACUCUGCUUAAUUGUAAAAUGCUUUAUGGUUAUUUUCCCUUAGUUUUUCAGUCAAAAUGAUACCAACUUAUACUGUCUAACAGUCUUCUGUUAUAGUAACUUAGGUGUAGUAAUUUAACGUACUGUUAAAGAAAGGAAAUGACUUUAUUGUUUUAAUGGGAGAAUUUUGAACAUUGUUAUAAACUUGUUUAAGUUGGGCAUAAGUAAAUUUAUCUUCAAUUUCAUUACUGAGCAGAUUUUGUUUGAAUGCAUGAAUGUUUGAUAUAUGUGUUUAAUAGCCAAGGAGUUUGUUUAGAUACUACUUUAAGAAUUAUCUAUAUAUAGAUUGGGUAGUCUAGAAAACUCUCCUUGAUUAAAUCAAUGUAUAAUUUUGAUAAGACAGUUUAAAAUGUUAACAUCCCAUGUCUUCUGGAGUCCAUUUGGUGACACAGGAAUGGUAGUAUAUGCUGGGAUGGUUUAGUUCAAUAAGGCUAUUAGUUCUGAUCUGCUUUUUCAAAGAGGUUGAUUGCCAAAUUAACAGCCACAUGAAGGAGAUUGUCUUUUUUUUUUUUUUUUUUUGUGUAUCCUGAAUUGUUUUUGCUUCCAACCACAAUUCUGGUCUUCUAUUGGUUCACACUUCCUACUUCUAUCUCGAUGAUUUUAGCUGCAAUACCUCAUUACUAAAUUCAGCUCUAACAACAGAGGAACUUAUUUGCUUCCUCUUUAUCUUGUUCCAUUACUAGCUUUCAUGUGCAGCAUUUUUAGAAUGUUAAAGACUAAUAGUACAGAAAGGUGGUUUUAAAUCAAAUGUAACAAGAUUCAAUUGACAGAUCAGCUAUGCUUCACUCCAUGUGGUUACCUACACACCUGGAUAUUUGUUUUAGAGUUUUAUGCUGUCUGAAUUAGUGGCCUCAUUUUGUUAUCUGAUUGAAAGCUUGCAUGUAUUUCGGUAAGUUAGGUUCUUCCCUCAACUCUUUUUCUUUAGUAACUAUCAUGGUAUUGUUUUAUAACCUUAAUUAGCUUCUCUUUGGUUUUUCAUUUGUCAGUAUAUCUGCUCUAUUCUGUUCAAUUCCUUUUUCUCUAUUCUCUCAGUUAUGUUGAACUAAAACGCUAUAGUUCAUACAAAGGCUUGCUAUAUUUUUUCAUAAUGAUUUAAGGUACAAAGCAGCAAUCAUAGCUGAUCCUUUGUGCUAUGAGGUAUGCAUGACACGCUAUCAAUGUUUUUUUUUUUCCUUUCCCCCUAGGGAUAAGCUGGUGGGGGGAGCGUCCCGUUCUCAAAAACUCCUUACCUUGAAUUUUGUGGCUGCAUAAAUUUCAGACAUGACUUUCUAUGCAAAAUAUUACAACCUGUGGAAACUGUUGCCUUCUCAAGGAUUAGAAAAUUACUCAAAAGAGGGCUAGAUUUUUUGAGCUAGGCUUGUCCCUUUUUUUUUUUUUGUAAAUAGAAUUUUAAUCCUUUUCUUUAAUUUGACCUCUGCUGAUCACAUAGAUGUCUCAUUUGGAUGUUCCUUAUAAGAUAUAUCGAUUCUCAUUCUUUAUGAUUUUUUUUAUGGCUGUACCUUGAUUUCUUUUUCAGGCUUUGGAAUGCCUUAUAGAAAAUCACAUGCUAACAUGCGAGCAAGGUAAUGAUGUAGUUUUUUCCUAGUCAUCUGUUUCUUUCAUCUGAGAGAAGUGGAUUAUGAAAAUGUUUACAUUUUGAAUUAUAGUUCUUACAUAAGUGUGCACGCGCACACACACACACACACAUAAAUGAAAUUAUAGUCACACACAAACAUGUUGAUAUAAAUUUAAUUUGGCAAAAAUUUCUUUGGCUGUGUUCAACUAGCAUUGGAUCUUUCAUGGAACAUGUUAUAAUAGGCUAAUACUUUAAAUUUUUGGAUUUGCUGUUGAAUUUCAGAAACAAGUUUACUUUCAUCAUUGGAAUUUGGUUUUGAAGAUGGAUGGCUUUCUUCAUUCUACUCAUGUUUGAUAAAAAAGGUGAACUGUGUGCAAAUUCAUUAUAUGCUCUUCCAAAUGUAAACAUUUCAAUAAUAAGUUUCCCAUAUGUUUUCGUGAUGUUGAUUCUUUUUGCUGUGUUUGAGUGCAGUGAACAAUUUCUUUCCUUCUUUCCUGUCUCCCUUUGUUUUAUGCAGUAUGACAAGGAGAAUGUUGUAGAAGCCAAAUUUGGAGAAAUUGAAAAAGAAAGAUGUGAUAGUGUCCAUUCGAGCCCAUCCUUCUCACACAGUCUGAAAAACAAUACUGAUCUUUUAGAGGGCUUAUUAUUCUGUCGACCUGCGAUACUAGAUUUCAGAAAUCUUCUCUUCACACAGUGUUCUUGGCUCUCUAAUUGUCAAAAAGUUGAACAGCCUUUUUCUGUCUGAUGCAUCAUAUAUAUGCAGUUUAAUAUUUGUGGACUUCAAUAAUAUUGAUUACCUUGAUUAUAAUAUUUUCAAUUGUAUGGUUUUUGGGUUUCUUCUUGGUAGGGAAGAUUUUUGUCUUUUUCUUUUUUUGACUUGAUUCUUCUUCUUUCUUAUUAUUAUUGUUACUGUUUCCCAUUCACAAGGAAAAAAUUGGAACUUGCUCCACCUCGCAAAAGUUUUAGAGCGCAUUUAAUUCUCGAAUUGGGGAAUUGGAAUGGAGAAUGGGAAUGAUUGAUUGUGUUUACUUGCUAAAAACAUGAAAUAAUGACGAUCGAUUUUGGGUGGAGCUCACAAGUUUGGGAAUGAGGUAUUGGAAUCCCAUUGCAAUAAGAGAGGUGGGAAUGAAAAUGGGAAAAUUAACACUUUUAUCCUUAAAGAAAAUUAAAUAUUUAUUUUUUACCUUAUAUAAAUAAAUAACUAAUAAUAAUAGUCGUAGUAGUAAUAAUAGUUAUAAUAAUAAUAAUAAUAAUAAUAAUAAUAAUAAUAAUAAUAAUGAAAAUUAUAGUAUUAUCCUCAAUAUUAUAAUAAACAUGUAUAUAUUUAUUUAUUUAUUUAUUUUGUUAGUGAAAAAUGUACAAUUUUAACUAAGGGCAUCAUGAUAAUUUUCAAUAAUCCAUUUUGAUUACGAAAUAAAAUAAAUGGAUAAAUGAAAUUCAGCUCAUUCGAUUCUUAUAUUUCAAGUAAAUAAUUUAUUAUGGUUCUCAUUUCUUAUUCCGAUUCCAGAUUCCAUCCCAUUUCAAUUCCUAAUCAUUUUGAUUCAUGGGAAGUAAACGCACCGUUAAUUUGUCGCUCUUGUUAAAUAUAUCCUUUGUGGAUUUCAUAUGAGGUUUGAAAUGUUAUUUAGUGAAAUUUAAUUUCUUGUUGGCUCUAUUCACCACAGCAAGGCUACAAAUCUUGAUGGGACAUUCGCCCCCGCUUGGAUAGGUUAUGGAAAUGCUUUUGCUGCUCAAGAAGAGGGUGACCAAGCAAUGUUGGGUUAUCGCACUGCUGCUUGUUUGUUUCCAGGGUAAUUUUUAGCAUUAUUUAUUCAUUUCUGUACCUUCCUGAUUUUCUUUUCCUUGGAUCAGCAUAUUCAUGCAAUGAGGACAAGGACAAAGCCACUAACUUGCUUUUGAGCAAGUUUCAGGACACUUUUAGAAUUUCAUUUUUGGCUUUUUUAAAAAAAAAUUUUGGUCUCUGAAAGAUAUCUUAAGGGUAGGGUUUGGUUGUUUUUGCUCAUCUUGAUAUUAUUCAAUUCUUGUUCAAUUUGAAGAACAGUGUGCUUUGGCUGUAUAAUCAUGUGGGUAAAAAAAUUUUUUGGUCCCUCAAGUUUCUAUUAGGUUUCAUGUAAUCCAUGAAAUUUCAGUUGCUUCAGCUUAAUCUGUUUCAAGUGCGCUACACUAAAAAACUUGGGUGUCAUGGGUUAUCAACCAAGAUUUUUUUUUUCUCCUUUGAUUUAAUAUUAAUAAACUGUUUUACCAAUAUAGACUUUUGAUGAAUGCUUCGCAUUUGAUUUCCAUAUUUCUUCCUGAGAAAUGUUGUAAGUUGAUUAAACAUAGUCUUAAAUCGACCCAAGGCAUUGUUGUAAUGUCUUUCUAUUUUGAUAAUAAACCACACUGUCAUAGUAGUUUUAUGGUCGUAAAGAUCAAUGAAUUUCAUUGUUUAUUGUUUAGUGAUGGUAUGCAUUGUGUUGUGGGAGUACUCUUAUCACUAUGAAUUGUCUUUUUACAGGUUGAAUCUUGAUGUUCUCUUAUUCCAGGUGCCAUUUACCAACUUUGUAUAUUGGAAUGGAGUACAUGCGAACUCACAGCUUUAAGCUUGCCGAACAGGUGUAUUACCUUCUUCUAAAUAUAGGCUGCCUUUCAUUUCUCUUUAGAUUUCAGUGAGAACUCUUAAGAGGUUGUUUGUUUGCAAUAUGAAGUCUGAUUGUUGGAUAUUCAGAUGUUGGUCUAUACGAUUUGCUAGUUGAUGUUGUCUUGGGGGUUUCAUUUUCCUCUUUGGAUUUAAUGUGAAUACGACUUCUUUCCUCUUUGUUUAAUUGAUGUCCAAUCCAUAUCCAAUCUACGAUUUUACGGAUUAUAAAUUUUCAAUCCAAUUCAAUUCACGGAUUGAUGAAAUUCAAUUCAAAUCCAAAUUCAAUUCAUACAUCUGCAGAUCGGAUGCGGAUUUGAUCAAAUCCAUAUCCAAUCCAUCAUUUUGCGGAUUGGUUUGCGGGCUGAAAAUUUUUAAUUCUGUCAAAUCCACGAACUAACUAAAUAUAAAAAUAAUUUUACUACCGAUCAAAUUUAAAAUUAAAUAAGAUUUAAAUAAUUAAUUGUUUAAAUAAAGCUAGAAAAUACAUUUACAGUUUUAAAAUAUAACACACCAAAAUGAAAAAAAUCUUAUUCGUUUAGAUCAGUACAUUUUUUUUAUGCGAAUACCACUCUAUUGGUGGGGGGCUUAGGCGGGACCCCUACUUUUCAUUUAGAACAGAUAAUGAAGAUUACAUGUGGAGGGGGACAUAAACCAAACCUCCAAUCUAGAGAAAUAAAUAUAACAGUAAAAGAAAUGAUUUAGGCAUAGCCUAACAUAAGAAGAAAAAGAGUAAUGCAGACGGUGACAAUAUCUCUUACGAUACUUGCGGCCGGCAAGUAAUUUAAUGCCCUUUUUCGAGUGACUGACAACACUAAAAUCAAGGCUAGAGUCAAUUCUCUCAGAAUUCUCAGGAGCAGACAGAAAAUAGUCAUUAUUCGCCAAAUGUUUGUUAGAACUAUCAUCAUUAUCAGUAUAAGAACUGUAAUGCCUAAAAUAUGUGCUGGAUGCUCGAUGAAGCUAUGUAUUAUAUUCACCUAGUUCUCGGAUCCUAGAAUCAGGAGUCGUGACAUCCUGGCCAAUCGGCUCCUGAAUGGAAGUAGAGUUUGUAGCGUUAACUCGGUUCUCUUAGGUACAAUCGGAGACCCCACAUCUGCAAUUUGCUUAAUGAUGGAAGGCUAAAGUCGUGGAGUAUCCAAGGGUUGUGGAGUAUCUGACGGCAAAACUUCUAACUUCUUAUUAUCUACUCUAGUUUGCCAAUUCCCACUGGGCCGCUGGGGAAGGACCCCUGGAUUGGCCACGGAACACGUCUCAAUGGUAUGGCCAAGGCACUUGUAGGAAGCACAGUAGAGUGGGAUUUUCUAAAAAAUUAUACUCUGCCAAAAUCCAGAAUCUCUCACACCGAUUUAGAUUCGUGACAACAGAGUUGAGUGACAUUAUUCUUCACUAACACCCUACUUACAGAAGGGCGAGCUAAAAAGGCAGUAGCUUGGUCAAUUCGUAAUGGCUUACCAAUAGAUGAUGUAAUAGAAAAUAAUGCUUCCUUACAGUGCAUAAAAUGGACAAGCAAGUAAGGAAUUGAAAUCCAUACUGGGACUAUAGAGGACUCCUUGGAAAAUCAAAAAUCGGUGGUUUAUUUAAAAAUUCUCAUUGCACUCUCAUUGAUGUACCAUGUCUGUCUAACCCGUAGGCGGGAGUAGUCCUCCUCAACAUCCAAUUGAAUUAACACAUGUCGAUUAUCUAAAAAGGACAUCUUGGAAAUUCCCUUCAAUCUCAUAGUAUUAAAAAAUUUACAAAUUAAUUCCAUACUAGGUCUAUUGUAGGAAAAUUUACCUACCAAUGUCCGCAGUGGAAAAUUGUACUUUAGGCUCUCCCUCGAAUAAAGUGACGAUCUUGAUUGGAAUAGACAAGCUAGUUGGGUCGUUCAUAAUAUCCACCAAAGAUUUUUUAGUGGGUUUAUUUUGAUUCAGAUUGGGGAUGGAUUUCAAAACCGAGGUAUAAGAAGGUACGUAUGUGGGCUGAGUGGUAUUUUGGAUUAACGGAUCAUUUUGGGGGUUAUUUAAUAAGAUUGGAGAGGGCAUUCGGGAGGGCUGGGUGUUGGGGUUUAUUUCGAAAAUGGAUUGGGCUUGGGUUUGACUAGUGGGAAAGGUUAAUGGGGCAUGGGAAGAGCUAGUGGUAGACACACAUGAGGAACACAAUUCAUGUGCUACCGAAAGUGUCUUAUGAGCAUGGGAAUUACACGCGUGCAGACUUUUGAGCUGAUGUUGGGUGGAUGUUUGCUGACCUUGGCUGGGUUCUGUGGUGGUUGCUUGCAGCUGACUUUCGGUUGACAGCUGCAGCUGGACGUGAGCUUGUGAUUUGCAUGGGGUUUUUUUUGUUGUGUGGGAGUUAUUUGUGUAGGUAGUGAUUGUGGCUGGCUGGUGGUUGUAUCUUGGACCGAAUCUUGAGACAAAUGGCCAUGGAGUACGGGCUGGUUUUGAUGGUGUAUAGGGGCUGUGACAGCAGGAUGAACUCUCGAAUAGUGUGUGGUUUGUGUUGGCUACGGGCUAGAGGCUGGUGGCUGGUUGGUUUGAGAUGAAAACCCAUUCACCAAGUUUGGUGGUGAAAGCUUGGAGUUGGCUGUUGAAGGGGUGACGAUGGCAGUUGGAGAUGGUUGUUGAAGGGACGACGAUGGCGGUGUGUUUGCGGAAGUUGAGGGUUGUUGGGGUUGGGCUGGCGUUUGACUCCUGUAUUUUGAGCGAGUUUGCCUUUGGGAUCUCCUAAGAAAAGAAUGUUCAUUUAUGGAAGUAAGGGGAGGAGCAGAUGGUGGCUGGCUGCCAUUAUCGUCAGCCGGCGAGAUAAGAAUCGACUUGUCUCGAGCAUUGGUUUCUUCCCCUUCUUCUAGUGAAUGGAGGGGUGAUUUUGCUACCUCACGGCAGCAUUCAUAGUCAUUGAUGCCACCAUUGAUUACCAUUUCUUUUUGCUCACUUGCGGCAUUAGGUGUGAUUGAAGGUUGUUGAAGUUUCGAGAGGAUAGCGGCAAUGGACAAUGGUGGUUGGUUUGCAUGGGGUUGGAUUUGAGAUGGAGGGUCUGCAUGAGAGUGGUUUGGUUGGAUUCGCGGUGGUGGCAACUGGACGUCCGGUGGCAGUUCAUUGGUGAAUUUUGGGGGUCGUCUAAAUGAUUUUUUAGGAGGGUUCAAACUCCUGAUAAUUUGUUCUUCUGCAGAGAGGGUGUAGACCGGUGAUGGCCGGUUGCCAUCAUCGGCGGCCGGAGAGGCCAUUAAGGCCGUUUAAGGCUUUUGAGGGGGGAAGGGGGAGACAUGUAGUUGAUAUUAGCAAUUAGAUUAGUGCAUGGAACUUAACUAUUUUAGAAGUUAUAUUUGUUUAUUUAGUUAUUUUUAUUUUAUAUUAUUAUUGGAUAAGAUAUAAUAUAGUGUUAAUAUAACUAUAUUUUAACUUAUUUAUUUACUAGUAAGUACUAAUAUUAUAUUUACAAGUUUUAUUUUUUAAUUAAAUAAAUACUUUUUAUUUUUUUACGAAUUUGCGGAUUUUUGCGGAUUUAUAGAAAUAGAUCCAUAUCCAAUCCAUCGAUUUCGGAUUAUCAAAUUUUCAAUCCAAUCCAAUCCAUCAAUCCACGAAUCGGAUUUUUACGGAUCAAACGGAUUGAGCGGAUCGGAUUGUGAACACCCCCGUACGAAGGACCCCUGAUAUUGAUGUCCAUACAUCCGAAUAAAUUUUCUUUAUGAGGAGUCUACGUCAUGAUUUCUACGUCACGAAUUCUCCAAAAUAUGAUGUCUCUCACUCUUAUCUCUCACUCUUAUUUAAGGCAAACCUCAUAGAGGCAAAUACAGAACAUGAAGAAAAUUAAUUUUGUUCCUAGUCCUCACUAUCUAAAAAGAAUUUUCGUUGAAGCUAUAUAUAUAUAUAUAUUGAAUCUUUUGAAAAAAAUUGCUUCCUGAGCAUAUGAUUUCUUGCUGGUUAAUUUUAAAAUAAAAAUUAUUUUGACUAUUAUAUAAAAGUUAAUUUUAAUAUUAUUAAUAGAGAGAUUUUUUAAAUUGUAAAAUCUAUUUAACCCAAAGAUUAUUUAAAAUCUUUUUAAUAUUACAAUUAUAUUAUUAAAAUAAAUAUAAUAAUUUAAAAUUUUAAUAUUAUUUUAAAUGUAAAAAAUAAUUUAAUAUUAUUAGUCUACCAAAUAGAUUUAUAUUAUUUAUAUAAAAUUUGUGUUAGUUAAAAAAAUUUAAAAAUCAAAUUUUUAAUUAAUAUAAUCAAAAGUUAUUGUGGGCAAAAAAAAGUUUUUGUAUCUUUUUUUUAGGAUUUAAAGAGUUUUUUAUAACUAUUUUCCCAAAUCUUAGAAUGUCGUUAUUCUUUUUCUUUUUUUAUCCCAUCUCAGUUUUUUUACAAGUAUUCAAAUAUUAGCACGUGAAAUAUAUUUUAAAAUAUCCAUCAAUUUAUUAUUUCUUAAAGUACCUUUUAUUAAUAAAUAGCAUAAUACACACGAAGGACCAUUGAUAUUGAUGUUCAUACAUCCGAAUCAAUUUUCGAGUCUACGUCAUGAUUUCUACGUCACGAAUUCUCCAAAUUAUGAUGUAUAUCUAUUCUUUCCCCUUUUGGUAAACAUAUCUCACUCUUAUUUAAGGCAAACCUCAUAGAGUCAAUCACAAAACAUGAAGAAAAUUGAUUUUGUUCCUAGUCCUCACUUUCUAAAAAGAAUUUUCGUUGAAGCUAUAUAUAUAUAUAUAUUGAAUCUUUUGAAAAAAAUUGCUUCCUGAGCAUAUGAUUUCUUGCUGGGUUUCUUCAAUUGCUCUUCUUGUUCAGUUGUUAAAGCUUUCCAGUUUCCUCUCUGUCGUUCAAAGAAUAUUUGAUCAUUGAAGUGUCACCUUCGUAGUGUUAAUUUCGGUGAUGGAGUCCGCUGCUCAAGUGAGGGAUGUCGAUGCUUUGUAUGAGCUAAUUCAACAUGAUCGAUAUUUUUUGGACAACUUCGACGAGAAACCUUUUGUCGAUACUCCUUUGCAUGCUGCUCCAAGGGAUGGAAAUGUUGAAUGGUCCAUGGAGAUUAUCAGACUAAAGCCAUCAUUUGCCAGGAAGCUAAACCAAGAUGGCUUCUCUCCGGUGCAUUUAGCUUUGCAAAAUGAUCAAACUCAGUUAGUGCUUCAGCUGAUAGAUAUUGAUCUGGACCUUGUUCGUGUCCAAGGAAGAGAAGGCAUCACUCCUUUGCAUUUCGUGUCUGAAAAAGGAGACAUCCAUCUGCUGAGGGAAUUUUUGUCUGCUUGUCCGAAAUCUCUUGAAGAUGUGACGAAUAAAGGCGAGACUGCUCUUCAUAUUGCUUUGAAAAACGAUAAGGUCGAAGCUUUUGAUCAAGCCUUAACAACAGUACGACCACCGUGGCUUGGCCCUGAAGAAGCUCAACAAUACAAUCAAAGAAUCCUCAACUUGAAGGAUAGGGAUGGCAACACUUUGUUACACAUAGCAACAUCCAAAAGUCAAGUCCAGGCAAGCUCGAAUCCACACACAUAUAUAUAGAAAUUUUUCAAUGAGGUGCAGGCACUUCAUUAUUUUUAAUGCAGACAUGCUAUUAAAUUAUGUGAUUUAAUAGAGUCAAUGUUUAAUUCAUUAUAAAGCCGUGUAUUUUAAUAGCAUGCCUGCAUAUAAGUUAAUAGAGUGUUCGUAUGAGAAAAAAAAAGAGAGAGUAUUCACAUUAGAGAAUAACUAUAUUUAUAUAUAUAGUAUCUAAUUAAUGACCUUAUCUUCAUUUUAACAAAGUAAAGAUAUCACUAAUAAAUUAAAAAAAAAAGUAGUUUAACAAAGUAAGGAUAUCACUAAAAAAAAAAAGCAAUUUUCAAUAUAUUGAAAUAUGUGUUUUUUUUAAUUUUAUUUGCAUUCUUAUUUUAUUAAAAUUUUUUAUUAGGGAAGGACUAUAUCUAUCUGGUCACAAAUAAAAUUCAGUUGAAUGAUGUCUAAAUUGAUGAAUUUGUUUAUCCAAAGCAGAUUGUCAGGUGUUUAUUGAAUUGCAAAGUUGAUACAAAUGCCCGGAAUUCGGAAGGUUUGACACCUUUAGAUAUUUCAUUACUUGAUCAAACUAAAUCAGAAAACCAAGAGAUUGCGGCAAUGCUGCGGGAAGCUGGAGCACUAGAGGCAACUUCACUUCCUAUUACCGACAAGGAUAGACAUUUAUCGAGGUAACAGGAACACUGCUCUUUUACUAAAUUACAGUCCAUUUAUCGAUUAUCUUUUUAAAAACAAUAUGGCAUUUUCAUAUUAUGUACAUCUCAAAAAUUGUUUAAUGUCCUUCAGAAGUAAGGAUCAGAGGCUGAACGAGGCUGCUAAAACAGGAAAUGUUGAUGCCUUGUAUGAAUUAAUAUGGGAGGACGCAUAUCUUUUAGAUCAGAUAGACCAAGUACCAUUCGUGGAUACUCCUUUACAUAUAGCAGCAUCAAUGGGGCACGUCAACUUUGCCCUGGAGAUAAUGAGGUUAAAGCCAUCAUUUGCGAGAAAGCAAAACCAAUAUGGAUUUAGUUCUCUGCAUCUUGCUUUGCAGAAGCAAAACCAAUAUGUACUUGAUCACGAGCAUCUUAAGGAAAAGAAACAGACCCAAAUGGUGCGUCGGCUCAUAGAUGUGGACAGAAAUCUUGUUCGUGUCCAAGGAAGGGAGGGUGUAACGCCUCUACACUAUAUUGCUGAGAAAGGAAAUGUCGAUCUUCUAUGCAAACUUCUAGAGGCUUGCCCUGAGUCCAUCACAGAGGUGACAAUCCGUUAAGAGACUGCUUUGCAUGUUGCUGCAAAAAAUGACCAGUUGGAGGCCGUUGAGUGCAUGCUAGGAUGGCUUCGAUAUGUGGGCAUGGAGGAUAUCCUUAACUGGACGGACGAUGAAGGCAACACUUUAUUGCAUAUCACAAUCUCCAAAAGUCAAAUAAAGACAUGAAAAGUUUUUAAAUUUUACUUCAGUUAGUCCCUAUAUUUUCAUGAUUAUUAAUUGCAUGCAUAUAUAAAUAUAUACUUGCAGUUGGUGAGGCUACUAGUUAAAAGAGCACGUGAUCAAAUAAAUGCCCGGAACUUAGACAAUAAGACACCCUUGGACAUGGUAGAAGAACAUUUGGGAGGGAAACCUGAAUUUAAAGAAGUAACACGCAUGGUGCGCAAAGCUGGCGGUAGAGAAGGGUCCUUCCUUCCUCCUCGUAGGGACGUUGCAUAUUACUUAAAACAAGGUUUAACAUGGCGUCGAAAGGUGCUUUUGCUCUUUUACCGCUAGAUAAAUUUCUUAAAGGAAUAGCUUUUUAUUGCGGUAUGUGUCCUUUGUACAGAGCUCUGCUAUUUAUAUGCAGGGCUAGAUACUUUACAUGGUAAGUGUUUACAUGGCAAGAAUCACCGUUUAAUUAUACAAUAUUUUCAAUCUCCUCAUAUUUACAAUCUCGUUGAUCUCCUUCCUUGAAUACAGAUUCUUGCUUUGUGUCCAAGGUUAUUGCUUGACAGCUUCACACGAUUAUGUGGCAUCUGACUUGGACUCUUUUCUAACUCCCCCCUUCAAGCUUAACUGUCUGUUUGAGACUUUAAGCUUGUCUCUUAAAAAUCUGAAACGAUCACAGCUCAAGGGUUUUGUCAAAACAUCUGCCACUUGUUCCUUUGUCGGUACAUAUCUCACUUCUUGUUCACCAUUUGCAAUUUUUUCUCUGACGAAAUGUACAUCAAUUUCUAUGUGUUUAGUUCGGGCAUGAAAUACUGGAUUGCUGGCAAGGGAUGCUGCACUUGUGUUAUCACACCAGAUUACUGGUCUUUGUUUUGGCUUCAUUCCAAGUUCUCCUAGCAAAGAACAUAUCCACGUGAUUUCAGCACUUGUAUCGGCAAGGGACCUAUAUUCUGAUUCAGUGCUUGAGCGUGCCACCACCUUCUGUUUUUUCGAUCUCCAUGAGACUAGAUUCCCACCAAGGAAGGUGCAGUAACCACCAGUAGACCGUCUGUCAUCUUGAUCACUUGCCUAAUCUGCAUCAGUGAAACACAUCAGUCCUGGUUUUCCUUUUGGUGUGAAGUGUAGGCCAUAAUUUAAGGUUCCUUUCAAGUAUCUGAGAAUUCUCUUACACCCCUCCCAAUGAGUUUGUUUAGGUGCUUCUAAAUAUUGGCUUAGUGUGUUCACUGCAUAUGUUAUUUCAGGCCUUGUUAAGGUAGCAUAUUGUAGGCCUCCAAUUACACUCCUGUACAAGGUAUUGUCACUGAAGGCUUUCCCUCCUUCCUUUCUCAGCUUGGUACUUGUGCUCAUUGGUGUAGGCAAGCUUUUGCAAUUUUCCAUUCCUAUUCGUUGUAGGAGGUCAGUGAUGUAUUUCCCUUGCGAUAGAUGCAUUCCCUCAGCAGUCCUUUCUACUUCAAUUCCCAAGAAGUAUUUUAGCGAGCCAAGAUCCUUCAGAGAGAAGCUUUUGUUCAGCUUCUGAAUCACGUCGUCAAUUAUCCUGCUAUUACUUCCUGUGAGUAGUAUGUCAUCUACAUACACAGGUAGCAGCACUGUAUCUCCAUCUUUGUUCAUAAAGAAUAGUGAGGUGUCUGAUAUUGAGUUUUUGAACCCCCAGUCUUUAAGGGCUUAACUGAGCUUAUUAUACCAGGCCCUUGGAGCUUGUUUGAGACCAUAGAGUGCCUUUUUUAACUUGCAAACAUAUUGUGGCUUUCUUUUGUCCUCGAAGCCUUGCGGUUGUCUUAUAAAAACUUCUUCACAUAGUUCACCAUGCAAGAAUGCAUUAUUCACGUCCACUUGUUUGAUAUCCCAGUUGUUCAUAAUAGCUAGGUUCAACACAAUUCUAAUAGUUGGUGAUUUGGCCACUGGACUGAAAGUUUCGUUAAAAUCGAUGCCCGCUGUUUGAUGAAACCCUUUAGCCACAAGUCUCGCUUUAUACCUUGCUAUAGUGCCAUCUGGAUUAUACUUCACCUUGUAAACCCAUUUAUUUCCUAUUACCUUUUGAUCCUGAAAGGGUGGAACCAAUUCCCAGGUUCUGUUUUUCUGAAGUGCUUCAAACUCUUCCUUCAUGGCUGUCUCCCAUUUUUUAUUUUUCAACGCCUCUUCUACACUUGCUGGAGUGUCAAUUUUCUCUCUUGCUAAUCUUUUUGCUGUGUAAAUUUUGGGUUUAUAUAUCCCAGACUUGGCUCUUGUGAUCAUAGGGUGACUGGGGGGAAGUGUUUGUGGCUGGCUUGUUGACUCUGUAGCUGCAGUAUUUUGGGUACUUUUUUGCUGUUGUUUCUGAGUUUGUCAUGACUGGUUCUGGUGUUUUAGGUUCUGUAGUGUUGGUCUCUUGGUUUGGUGAAAGGAUGUGGAGCUCUCGGUCUGUUGGACAGUGAAGGUUGGAGCCUGCUUCUUGAACGACUGCUGGUGGAGAUGUAGCUGAGACACAUCCUGAAGUAGAAACCUGUGGCACUGUUAGGAUUUGAGUAUAAUAUGGACACACAGCUGUAUUUUUCUCAGUAGGUUGAAAAGCUUUGUCAUUUUGAAAUGGAAAUUCAAACUCAUUAAAGACCACAUUUAUUGCUAUAUAAACUCUCCCACUACUGUGUAAGCACAAGUAUCCUUUGUGUUGAGAGCUAUAUCCUAUAAACACACAUUUAGCAGUGCGAAAAUCUAAUUUAUGUGAAUUGUAUGGCCUUAAGUGGGGAAAACAUGCACAACCGAAAUCCUUCAUGAAUUUGUAAUCAGGCUUUUGAUGAUAGAUUAUCUCAUAUGGGGAUUUUCGAUUGAGUAUUAAUGUCGGCAUCCUAUUUAUUAAGAAUGUGGCUGUUUCAAAGGCUUGCCACCAAUACUUUGUAGGUAUUGAGGCUUGUGGUAGUAAGGUUAGGCCGAUUUCUACUAUAUGCCUAUGUUUUCUUUCCACCCUUCCAUUUUGGUGAUGAGAGUGAGGACAUGAAUGCCUAAAUAAAAUUCCAUUUUCUUUGAGAAAUGGUACGAAGGAUCUGAAUUCACCCCCCCAAUCUGUUUGCAAGGUUUUAAUUUUCUUUUCAAGUUGGGUUUCAAUCAUUUUCUUAAAUACUUGGAAGGUGGAAAAGGUUUCUGAUUUGGCAGCCAAUGGAUAAAUCCAUGUAAAUCUGGAAUAGUCAUCUACAAUGCUUAGGUAGUACCUAUAGUUGUUUCCAGAGGCUAUUGGUGAUGGUCCCCAGAGGUCAAUAUGCAAUAAUUCCAGUGGUUCAUUUGUUUUUGUUGCUGAGUUUGUAUGGCUUAGUCUAUGACUUUUUCCAUAUUGGCAUGCUACACAAAAUUGAGGAACGGAAAUUUUAUUGAUGUUACUAGAUACAUCACAUGACAUUAAUAUGUCAUUUAAUGUUUGAACACUAGGGUGACCAAAUCUUUGAUGUAAUGUAUCUAUUUUAUUGACUCCAUUACAAGUUGAUUCUAGACUUCGACUCUUAGAAGACUCUGAUUCGCUGUGUGACAACACAGGCUUAUUUAAAGCAGCAAAAAGAGAAGUUGCAAGGGGACUUUUGACUCUAGAUUCAGGUGUCUUGCAGGAUGUUUCCAACAGAUACAAUCCUCCAUCAGCCGUUCCUUGAAGCAAGACUUUCUUCCUCAUCUUGUCCUGUAUAAGGCAAGUAUUUUUCUUGAAAACAACAAACAAGUCAUUGUCAGAUAAUAAUUUAGAGAUGCUAAGGAGAUUUUUUGUAAUAUGAGGGACAUGCAAAACAUCUUUUAAAAUAAUUGGCUUCUGACAUGGGACAUGUAAUGAGGAUCUACCAAUAUAAUUUAUUUUUAACUUAUGACCAUUACCAACCAUAAGUUUGUCACUUCCCUUGUAUUCAAAUUUCGUUUCAAGGUUUUCAAUCUGAUAUGUGACAUGGUUUGUAGCACCACUAUCCAGGUACCAACCUUGAUCAUUUUCCGAAUCAAUCUUUGCAACAUUAGCCGUGGCUUGACUCUGGUUUUUCUCAUUGCUUUGUGGCUCGUAGUCUUCUUUAAAGCGAUGCCAGCAAUCGAAUGCAGUGUGUCCUACCUUUCCACAAAUUUGGCAAGUUGGCUUUGAUUUUCCUCUGCCAGAUGUUUGUGGUGUUUUUGCUCUGCCUCUACCUCUUGGAUUGUUUCCUCUUCCACUAUUGUAUUUUCUUUGGUUUUGAGUAGAUUGAGCAUAGUUUGCUGAUAUGUUCCCAUCAGAAGCUAUGUUGGCAGCAGUAUGCAGCUGAUCAAGUCUGCUUUCAUGGUUCAAGAGAAGUGAAUACACUUCUUGAAGAGGUAGUGUGUCUGAUCUUGCUGUUAUAUUAACCACUACAGGGUCAUAUUCUGAUCCCAAGCCUGCAAGAAUAUAGAGAACUAAGUCUUCUUCUGUGAUGGGAUUUCCUGAGGCGGUGAGAUUGUCAGCAAAGUUUUUCAUUUUGGAAUAAAAAUCACUAACAGUCAUAGACCCCUUUUUCUGGGUUUGAAGCUGCAUCCUAAGUUGUAGGAUUCGAGCUUUUGACUGAGAGGAGAAAAGCCUUUCCAGUGCAUUCCAAACUUCAUAAGAAGUGGUGCAACUGAUGACUGAACUUAAGACACUUUCAUUCAUUGAAGACAGCAGCCAACUAAGAAGAAGUUGGUCCUGUUUCUUCCAAAGUGCAUAUUCUGGAUUUACAGUCGUUUCUGCAGUUUGGUCAUCUACAGCAACUACCAGAAAUUUGUUUGGGCAAGGUUUUGUGCUGUUUAUGAAGCCUUCAAGUUCAUUGCCACGGAUUGAGGGCAGGACUUGAGAUUUCCACAUCAGGUAAUUUUGUCUAUCUAGCUUGAUUGGGACGGUGAAAUUGAAGGUGGUGGGAUUGGUUUGUGGUAUUGUAUGGGUGGCGGAAUUGGUGGUAUUAACAAAACUAGAUGAAGCCAUUAUUUCGACUUACCCGCUCUGAUACCAAGAUAAAUUUCUUAAAGGAAUAGCUUUUUAUUGCGGUAUGUGUUCUUUGUACAGAGCUCUGCUAUUUAUAUGCAGGGCUAGAUACUUUACAUGGUAAGUGUUUACAUGGCAAGAAUCACCAUUUAAUUAUACAAUAUUUUCAAUCUCCUCAUAUUUACAAUUUCGUUGAUCUCCUUCCUUGAAUACAGAUUCUUGCUUUGUGUCCAAGGUUAUUGCUUAACAGCUUCACACGAUUAUGUGGCAUCUGACUUGGACUCUUUUCUAACUCCGCUCAUCACAUGGCACUACGGAUGAAAAUCGAAACGCACUACUUGUGGUUGCUGUACUAAUCGCGACAGCCACAUUCCAAGCAGCGCUUACCCUGGCUGACGAUCUUCAGGGAAAUAAGUCAACUGGAACCAGCAACUCUGUUGCCAAUUUUGGAUCACAAUCAGCGUCGACAUCGACAUCGGCAUCAGCAUGGGCAUAUGUAACACCAUCAGGAAGAGCAAAUGCAACCGCCAUUUAUCGGAGCAAUGGAACCAGCAGCAGCAUCCCAACAAGUGACAAGAUUCGAUUCGCUCACGGGAAAUUUUAUGGCGAUGCCGUCAGUGAUACGAUCUCCUCACUUUUCGCAUUUUCAAAUAUUACAGCAUUUUGUAUAUCUAUGCUGGUGAUUAAUUAUCACCUUCCGUAUGGCUCCGCAGCUACUCUGGUAUAUCCUCUAGUUAUUUGCUUUUGCCUGUUAGUGGUUGGCAGAACCCCGUUGUCGCUACUUGCCUCAUUCUUAAUGCUUAUCGUCUUUCGGAUUUUUUUAUUUGUACAACUGGACUUCUCCAAGGUUCGAUUUAGACGAAGCUUCUGGAUUACACAAGUUUUGGGCUCCGUUUUCAAACAUUACGGAAGCUUCCGCAAUAAGAUGAACGAAGAUGAAAAAUAGCUAUAAUGCCAAUAUGCUGCCAAGGACAAAACACAUGUCCGUUGGUCUGUUGAUGUUCUCUGCCAUGGACAAGUGUUUUAGUUAAACACUUCCUCUGAAGUAAUAUUGCUGGUUUUGUUUUGUGUAAGAAGGUGUGCUUUUCUGUACUGUAUUUUCUGAAUUAUGUUCGUUUGCUUUUGCUUCAUUUUGUAAGGUCUUGCAUGUUUCAAUGUAACAUUAAUUACUCUUGUUGUAUCUGAUAGUUGUAUUGUUCACGUUCGUGACUGUGAAUAUAAUGAUGUUAAUUUAAUUAAAACUAUAUGCUUGUUUGGCUGAUAAGAAAAUGAAGGAAAAUUUAUUGACUUAGAGAGGAAAAACAGAAAUUGAAUUCGUUAUGAUUGAUACAGUGAAAUGAGAUUACAAUACACUAUAUAUAUAUAGUAGCAUCUGGAACUUUCCAAGUGUAACAGAAUCAUAUACAAAGUCUCUGAUAUUCACCAUAACAUUUUGGUGGGAAAUAACAAACUAAUAACAAACUUUGAACAGCUUGCAUAACAAUCUUCCAGUAGCUUCCAGCAUCUUGUCCAGCGUGGCAUCUGAUUCAUUACUCUACUUAACAAUUUUCUGACAUCAAUUAGCUGACUCAACAUAUUCUUAACAAAUUUGUAUGAACAUAUGAAAUAUCAAUAUCAUUGGGCUUUUGAUGCUCCCACAGGCUACUUAAAAUUGUACCUAUAAAAGUCUGUUAGAAGAAAAGCUGAUUCAAAAUACUUACGGCAAUAUAUAAGUAUGCUUCCGGCAAUAGGGUGAAAGCCUACACAUGAAGAAAAACAAACAACAAACAGCAAACGCACAAACAUAGCAACAAAAGAAGACAAGACAAUGUCUGAUGAGAUUAAAAAGCUGACAAUUGAUGAACCCUUCAACACCCCUCCAAAAGGCUCAGCUGGGUCAUAAUAAAUGUCAACAUCCUCUGACCUAACUGACUCAUCAACCCUAAGUGACUCAUCAACCUAUGUAUCGGGUUUUUCAUUCAUCAGCAAAGAGUUUCAGCACUUGAUCUGAAAAAUAAAGACUGCUUUUGACACUCUAGAAAUUCAAUUUCAUUUUUCCAUGUUAUUGAUGAUCAAACUCAGAUUAGCAACUGAAAAUAUAAUAUAACAAUUUGACAUCAAAAGUAAGUCCACUGAAAAUCUUUGGAAAUAUAUUAAUUAAAAUUAUGUUGAUGAAAUUUUUUAAAAUUUUAUGGUUUUGGUUUACGAAUCGUGUUGGCGAACGGCUUUAUUGUACAAGUACAGGUGCUGCUUCCUCUUCAUCUAUAUUAUACGGUUUACAUUGUUAAUUUAUUUUAGUACUUUGUUUCCUCAUUUGUUGAAAUCCACUGAGUGCUUUAAAGUUACCUGAUUGACACUAAAAUUAUCAUUUUUUUCCUUCAUCCUGUUCUCAAAUUCAGUCACGUUCCUUCGUCAUUUGUUCACGAAAUCCAAGUGCGGGCAACCAAAUGAGAAAGCCUGUAUUUUGACAAGCUCAAUCAAAAUUCUUCGGUUCCUUACGUGUUGAUUUCGACCUCUAUAAAUUAAAUUUAUUUAGCUUGAAGAGAGAAUUUGAUAAAAAUUUAAAUAAAGAAAUUGGGCAAUGAGAAUAUAUUUAUAAUUUUAUUAACAAUAUAUGGACAAAUUGGACAAUUAACAACUAUUUUUUUAUGUGCUAGAAGGGUAUAACGGUAAUUAUAUAUUAAAAUUAUAAUUUCUGUUAAAAGUAACGGUUUCCGUUGAUGAAUGAGGGUGUGAAUGUCUUUUUUGAAAUAUUGGAAGGACUUUUAUCCAUCUGUCUAAACGUUGUGAGUGUGUUAGUCUUUUUCCCUAUUUACAAGUACAAUUGUAAAUUUAUUUUCCCAUUCUUCUUCCCUUCUCUUCAAAAUUCAGCCCGAUUUUCUCCAUUUAAUCAUUCGCAUUUACAACAUUGCAAAUCUAGAAUUAGAAUUAAAAAUUCUUCUGAUUUUCCAAUACCAAUAAGUCAAUAAAUCAACUAUUAUAGUCAAAACCAAACCCUAAAACAAAAUAAUCAUUUUUUUUCCUUCAUCCUGUUCUCAAAAGGGGUUAUCUUUGUUGCUAGGCAUGUGGUGUUUUACGAAUCAAAAUUUCCUUUCUCUACUGAUCCUCAAUUCUCUAAGCAAUCUUCUACCUCUGUUUCCGAGUAUAGACAUCCUAUGUUUAAAACUUCUUCUGUGUUAGUUCUGCUACAUGAUCCUUCAGGCUCAAGUGACAACACUGUACAACAGCUUUAGCUCCAUGCAGUUCCAGCUUCCUCUUCUUCCUCUAGUUCUUCAUCAUCAUCACCUUUACCUCCAAAUCCAUAUUUCCCUGAUCCUUAUCACAAUAUGUCCCAUAAUUCCCAACACUCUUCUUCUUCUACAUCUAUUGUGCCUAUUCCACAGCCUUCUGUCCCUGCUCACGUACCACUGCCAACUCAUCCAAUGGUUACAAGAGCAAAAGCAGGAAUAUUUAAGCCAAAGUUUCUUGCAUAUUCUUCUGUUCUUGAAGAACAUGAACCUGCUACAAUUUCUCAAGCUCUCUCCAAUCCUAAAUGGAAAGCAGCAAUGCAGGCUGAGUAUGAUGCACUCAUGAAAAAUGAAACUUGGGUUCUUGUUCCAGCCUCUCAAGCUACUAAAGUUGUUGGUUGUAAAUGGGUGUUUCGCAUUAAGUAUAAUGCAGAUGGCUCUAUCUCUGAGUAUAAAGCUCGUUUGGUUGCAAAUGGGUUUCAUCAAACCCCUGGUAUUGAUUACUUUGAGAAUUUUAGUCUAGUGGUUAAGCAAUCUACUAUGAGAAUUGUACUUAGUCUUGCUGUUAUGAAGAGCUGGAAAAUAAGGCAGAUAGACAUCAACAAUGCUUUCCUUAAUGGGCAGCUCAAUGAAGAUGUUUACAUGUUUCAACCUGAGGGAUUUGUCUAGCCUUCAUCUGGUCAUGUUUGUAAAUUGCUUAAGGCUCUUUAUGGUCUAAAACAGGCUCCUAGAGCCUGGUUUGAUCGGUUAAGGAAAGCAUUGUUGAAGUGGGGGUUUCAGAACUCAAGAACAGAUUCAUCUUUAUUCUUUAAACAUGAACUUGGAGGUAUUGUAGUUGUGUUGGUAUAUGUGGAUGAAAUUCUUAUUACUGUAGAUAAUAAUACAGUGAUUGAAAGGUUCAUCAAAUAUCUUGGAGAUACUUUUGCUUUAAAAGACCUUGGUGAAUUCAAUUACUUCCUUGGUAUUGAAGUUACUCAAGGUACAAAGGACAACUUACAUCUCUCACAGGCCAAAUAUGUAAGAGAUUUGCUCACAAAAACUGCAGAGAAAGUGGUACUCCAAUGAGUACAGGACAGAAACUAAGAAGAGCAAGAAAUGAAGAUAAUUUGAUUGUUAAUGUUACUGAAUAUAAAAGCAUAAUAGGUGCAUUGUAGUAUUUGGUACUCACAAGGCCAGAACUUGCUUUCUCAGUAAACAAGUUGAGUCAAUUUCUUGCUGCAUCUACAGAGAAGUACUGGACUGCUUGUAAGAGAAUUCUAAGAUACUUAAAGGCAACUGAGGAUUAUGGCUUGCUAUUUAAACCAGGUGGUGGUGUUGUCUUAACUGCAUAUACUGAUGCAGAUUGGGCAUGUGAUGUUGAUGACAGGAAAUCAGUUGAAGCAUAUUGUGUUUAUCUUGGGCAAAAUCUUAUUUCAUGGUCUUCUGAGAAGCAACAAACAAUAGCUAGAUCUAGCACAUAAUCAAAAUAUAGAGCAUUAUCAACAUCAUGUGCAGAAAUCGUUUGGGUUCAGGCUUUGCUUGGUGAACUUAAUAUAAUCAAACACCAAUAAUCUGGUGUGACAACAAUGGUACUGCUGCAUUGACAACAAAUCCAGUAUAUCAUGCUAAAACCAAGCACAUAGAAUUAUAUGUACAUUUCAUAAGAGAGAAUGUGACAAAUAAACAAGUGGAAAUCAAGUAUGUGCCUAGUGAAUGGAAUAUUGCAGAUGUGCUUACAAAGCCUAUGGCUUACUGCUUUUUUAAUUACUGUAGGACAAGCUUAAUGUUGUUUCAUGACCGUUAAGCUUGAGGAGGAGUGUUAAGAUGCUUAAUCAACAGCAGUAGACCAGUGGCUGAGAUUUGUGCGACAAGGAUUGCUGAGCUGGACAAAUUAGUUAAGUUGUUGUAAUUAGUUUUAGUUUAGCCAAUAGAUGUAUUACAAUUGUACAAAAGGUUGUUAUUACUGUUGAUCAACAAUAUAAGUUUGCUACGAGCUAAAUGUAAUUCAUAUAAUUCAUAUCAAUAAAAUUUUCUCCGAUUUAGUUACUUUUCUUUCUUCUUUCUGUCACUUUCCUGCUAGCCAAACAAACUAUCAACCUAAGAUCCGUGAGUUCUAACUUUUACAAAUGUAAUAAUUACCAUGAAUUUGCAAAAACUUGCAGCAAAUAUUUGUGUCCCAAUAGGUUUACAAUUGCAACACAUAUCGAAAAACUGUAAUAGUACCCUUGAUUAUAAUUACUUGACCAUAGUCAGUGGCGAACUAUGUAUACGCCUGGCAGCCGAGGUGUCAGGAAUUUAAUUUAACAGGGGUGCCUAAGUUCAAACACUAACAUAAUUAAAAAAAUGGUCAAUAAAUAACAAAUAUUAAAAUAUUUAGGGCUAGUUUGGCAAUCUUAUAACUUUUAAAAUAAUUGUUGUUACUUGCGCUGUAAAAAUAAUAAGUUGUGAAUGGAAUUAGUUAAACGUUUGACAAAAUUUCUUCUUAAAAGUGCUUUUGUAAAUCUCAUUGUUGAACUAUUAUAAGAGUUUAAAUGAUUAAAAUGGACAUAAUAUUAAAUAAAAUAUAUUAUAUAGAUAUAAAUACAUACAUAUAAUAUUUUUUAUUAUGUCUAUUAGUAAUUGAAAACUAAAAUAAUUAUCUUUGUUUUAUUAAUUAUUUUUUAUCUCAAUAUAAUUAGUAAUAAUAAUAAUCUCUAGAUUUAAUAAUUUUAUUUCCUAAUUGAAUAAGGAUAAUUUUAGAUUUUUAUAAUAUAUGUAAGGAUAUAUAUGGAAUUUUAUUAAUUAGAAAACUUAUCCUGAAAAUUAGAUUUUGAAAGCCUACUUCUUUUUUGCUUUCCAAAAUAUGCUGUUAAUAAGAUAGAGUGAUUUUACCGAAAGUGAUUUAAAAAAAAAAAAUCUACCAAACAGUAAAAUUAAAGUUUAGCUUUUAAAAUCACUUUUAAGUCUCUCAAAAGGAAUCCCAAAUAGGCCAUUAAUUCAAUACAAUUAUAAUUGUUCUCAUGUAUUUUCAUAUGUUAAAAAUAUUGAAGAAUAACCUCAUUAUCAUUACUACAAACAUAUUUUUUUCUACGUAUACAAUAAAACUAUCAUUCAACAAUUGGUUUCCCAUAUGAUUUUGUGGAAGAUUUUUCAGAAAAUUCAUAGCUGAAAAUACCCUUUCUAAUUUAGUUGUGUUGCCUGAUAAAAUCAUUGCUAAUGUUACCAACAUAUAAAUUAAUGAAUACAACUAUCCAUUAUCUCAACCAUUUUUCUUGCUAACUCACCAGUCUCUUUUAAUCUUAAAAAUGUUGUCAAAACCCACAUUCAUAAUAUAAUCAUCAAGUUGAAUUUCAAGUGCCAUAAUGCAACAAUCUUUCUUUAUGGGUUCAAAGUGUUAAAAAGAAUAUUUAAUAUUUUACUUGUUUUUAAAUUUUAACAAGGGCAUUAUGGUAAAUCAAAUAAAAUAGGACAAAUAUUAAAAAAAUUAAAAAAUUGAAAAAGGGUUUUAGCCCCUGCUAAAAUGGCACCGCAUCUAAAGCCUAGGGUGCCUUGAGGCAACAUACCAAUAAUAAUAAUAAAGAAAGAAAUCAAGAAAAAAGACACAUAAUAAUAAGUAGUAACAUUAGCAAUGUUAUUUGUAUUUUAUGUUUUGACCCCUAUAAUUUUACAAGUUGAUUUUAUGUUACCGCCUACUGAAAUUUAUGGUUUUGGUCAUUGUGUUUGGCCCUCUCAAUUUUAGUGAUUCUAUACUGUAUGAAAUGUAAGUUAUGCAACCCAAGAGGGGGGUGAAUUGAGAUUUUAAAACUUACGCUAAAUAAUUCGCACAACAAUUUAAUGUAUUGCCUUAAUCAAAUGCAAAAACAAUAAAUUCAGUAAAGCACAAUACUAAAAGAGUAAGUACAAUAAUAAAAGAGUAAGGGAAAAGAAAGCAAACACAAAAAUUUUUACGUGGUUCGGCAAUCCCCGCUUACGUCCACGCCUCCAAGCCAACCAAACUCGAGGAUUUCACUAUCAAAGCCUCCCAAAUCCUUAAGUUCUUACAAUUAACUUCCAAUGUGUCAAUGAACCUUUACAAUCAAGAGAUUAUCUCCCCAAUCUAUUCACCCUAAGUGUUUCUCACACUUGUACACUUACAAUUUGAUGAGAAAUGAACAAUUACAACAAAAACUCUCUUUAAGAGUGGAUUUGCAAAUAAUAGCAUAAUAAUGAUUCAAUAAAUGAUGGUUUACGAAAUAGAACCUCAAUAUGUGUUAUAUGAUCUUAUUUAUGCUUACAUUAGUCUUGAAAAUGAAGAUGGAGUUAAGGUUUUAUAACUAAAGCUCGAAAACUAACCGUUAUAGGCAAAUUCCAGCGCUCAAGCGGUUAGCCGCUUGAUUUAUCCAACUAGCCGCUCCAGAACAAUGAUGUUACCAUUAAAUUUGAAUUUUACUACAGUAUCAUUGUUCAUUAAAUUACAUUUGUGACCAAAACUUUCUAUAAUUAUAUUAUAGCCUAACAUGUCAUAAAACUUUGCAAAUAAGUCUAAUUUCAGAAUUUCUAAAUAAUACAUGUCAUUCCUAAAUCUUAUUGUAAUUAUGAUAUGACCUAGUAUAUAAUAACAUUUUUAAAAAAGGUCCUUUUCAAAAUUUAAAAUAAUACCCAUAAAUUUUAAAGUUCUCAAAUCUUUUCAAUUUAGUCCAAAAUUUGAAAAUAUGAGACUUUCCUCAAGCGGUUGGCCGCUCACUCUCUGUCCAAUUUUUUAUUUCAAUUGUUUGGAUUACGUUUUGGUCCUCAAACUUUCUUAAAUUGUAAUAUGACCCAAAAUAUUUCAAAUAUUUACAAAUAAAUCUAAAUUCGAAAUUCAAAACAAUACUUAAUAAAAUAAAAGAUUGCAAAACUUUUUCAUUUUAGUCCAAAUUACUCAAAUCCACAAAAUACUUUAUCUUAUAAAUAUAAAACCUUUUAGUUUAUGAAAGGUAAUUAUUUAAAUAAACUCUUGAGUUUCUCAAAUGCUAAAUCAUAUAUCAAUUAAAUCAUACCGAUUUUACAAGAAUUUGUCACAAUAAUUUGUCCGUUGAGCUCUAAACUUUAUUCUUGAUUUUGCCGUUGUCCGUUGAGUGUCUUGAACUUGAUUCACUUGCAUAAAUAUUAUCCUUAAAAAACUAGUAAAAAUGUGAAAUACAAUAUUUAUUAAAUCACUUAACACAUGUUUGUUAUUAUCAAAAUUACAUUAUGGGUAGCCCUUUAGGCUAACACUGUAGCCUACUCAAGUAUAUAGUUUCUUCAUUAGGCCCCAAAACCAAAAUCCUAAGAGUAUCUCCAAAAAGUUCUAUUAAUUUUACUCUUCAAAUAUUUAUUUGCUUACCUAUGUGGUAAAAAGGAGAGUGAAAAAAUAUGUUAUUCUCCAAAAGACUCUUUAAAUAGAAAUAAGUUAAUAUUAUUUUAAUCAAAUAAAUAUUUUUUCAAAGGAAAAAUAAAUGGUAAUUAAAGCAUUUCUCUCUCUCUCUCUCCCCAAUAAAAAGUAAUAAAAUAUAAAUUGAAGAGAGAGAAAGUAACUCUACAAAUUAAAGAGAGAGAAUUAUUUCUUAUUUGAAAAAUCUUAAUUAGAGUAUCUUUUGAAGUCUUAAAUACUGAUGUAACUCUUCAAAUAAGUAAUAAAAUCUUAUUUGAAGAUUUUUUUGGAGAUGCUCUAACUUCACCACUAGAUUUACUUGAGUAUUCAACAAUACUCGACUUACUUGAGCGUAGGUGAUUUAGUUAUACUUAAUUGACUACUAAAACAAUUUAUUCGACUUACUCGACGAUACUUUACUUAGCUCACUCCAUGUACUAAUAUUUUACUAUUUUUCUAAGUGGUACAUUUAAUUACAAAAAUCCAUGAAAAUUUGAUAAUGAUGAAAUGCUUAAUAAAUAAGGGUAUUUGGUCGAAUUAUAACAAUGUUUGUUAAACACUGGUCUAAUAAUAAGUAGUCAUUUUCUGAUGAAAUAAAAUUAAAGCUGACAAAAUUUAACAUUACUGGUUUACUCUAUACAAAUACAACAUGAAUAAAUAUGUAUCUAUCAUGAAAAUUGACAUGAUUAUUAAAUGAAUUUGGUCUAAGUCAACCCAAUUGUUUCCCGUGUCAGGCUAGAAUUCAAUUUUUCAAUGCAUUUACUUGGUCAAUGACGUGAUUGUUAAAUAGUUAACCAAAACUAAUUCAUAUUUGCAUUAAAAUAUACUUAUAUUUUCAAUUCUAAAUUAAUUUAUAGAAUCUUAUCAUUAAAACUCAAAAUUUGGUCAUGAUUCUAGAUGAACAUAUAUUUGAUGUUCUAUUUUGUAAAAUUCUUGAUAGAUUUAAAACUUCAAUGGUUCAUACAUGUUGUAUUUGCAUCAAAUGAGUGUGUAGUAUUUGAUGUAAAUCGUGUUAGAAUUUAAAUAGGUAUUCAGUGAAUUUUUAGGUUAUAUCAUGUUAGAUGACACAACUACCUAGUUAUUAAAAGAGCGUAUCAAGUCACUAUUUUAUUUUUCGUAUCGAGUUCAAGUUUUAAUAUUUUAACAUUUUAUUUUUCGUAUCAAGUUCAAGUUUUAAUAUUUUAACACGACUAUUAAAUAAGUCGUGUUUUAACCAACAUAAAUUUAACACAAAAUUGACACAAUAUGAGUGGCUUAAUGACCUAUUUUGUUAGUUUUAUUUAAAACCCUCUAAUCUAUAAAUAAAAAAUAAAAAACGGUCCAUGGGCCUAGCCCAAAUAUAAAUUCAACAAAACCAGCUCCCGCUCAAUCACACUCUCUCGGUCGUUCCCUUCACUCUCCAAAACCCCCCAUUCCAAACAAAACCCUCAUUUUUCCCUCUUAACGAAGUCACUUUCUCGAGAACCAAACAUUCCCUUAGAUCUCCAAUUUCAUAAUGAGAGAAGAAGAAAUAGAGAAACUUCGAGGAUUGGUUCGCGACUGUGUGAGUAAGCAUUUGUACUCGUCGGCCAUUUUCUUCGCCGAUAAAAUCGCCGCUUUGACCAAUGACCCUACUGGCGUGUACAUGCAGGCUCAGGCUCUGUUCCUUGGCCGCCACUACCGCCGUCCAUUUCACCUCCUUAACGCCUCAAAAAUUGUGCUCCGUGACCUCCGAUUUCGUUACUUGGCUGGUAAGUGUCAGGUAAAGUUCUGUUUUUUGAUUGCAUUAGAAAAUUUGACUUUCAGAUUUUGGGAUUUGUGCUUUUUGCGUUUUUAGUUUUUUUUUAAUGUUAUGAAAAAGGGAAAUUUUGAAAAUUUUUACUUGAAAUUCGUGUUCUUUUUAUUUUAGAACAAAAGAAUUUCAAUGAAAAAUAUUUGGAAAUUGAAUUGCUCUAGCAAAUUUGCAUGUGUUGUGUGUUUUAAGAAAAUGAAAACUAGAUUUUGAGCAAUUAAGGAGAAAUUAUCGACUUUGAGCUGAAUGAUUUUGAUCAAUUUUUUCUUGAAUGUUUAUUUGUUUAUACAACUGGGUAGUUUUUCUUUUACUUAUUUAUUUCUGGUCUGUCCUUUGUAUAAUUAGGAGGAACUGAAGGAGUGGGACUAGUGUUUGUCGAUGCUCGGUGAUGCUAAGGUUGAUGAAGAUGGUAAUGUUUAUGACACAAAGGAUAUCAAUGUCAUGUACUUAGAUAAAGAUGGGGAAGACGGAGAAAUCAAUGUAAGUUUUUGUUUGUAAUCUCAUUUUAUCUGGCCUUUUAUUUUUUAAUUUGUUGCACAUUUGUUGUAUACUUGACCCAAUAUUUCUUUUUUCUAUUACAGAUCUCUUCAGCUAUAUGCUUUUUGAGAGGCAAAGCAUAUGAAGCCUUGGGAAAUUGUGCCCAAGCUCGGCUGUGGUUAGUUUCUUGCGAUGAAUUUACAUGAAAAUCACUCUGCUUAAUUGUAAAAUGCUUUAUGGUUAUUUUCCCUUAGUUUUUCAGUCAAAAUGAUACCAACUUAUACUGUCUAACGGUCUUCUGUUAUAGUAACUUAGGUGUAGUAAUUUAACGUACUGUUAAAGAAAGGAAAUGACUUUAUUGUUUUAAUGGGAGAAUUUUGAACAUUGUUAUAAACUUGUUUAAGUUGGGCAUAAGUAAAUUUAUCUUCAAUUUCAUUACUGAGCAGAUUUUGUUUGAAUGCAUGAAUGUUUGAUAUAUGUGUUUAAUAACCAAGGAGUUUGUUUAGAUACUACUUUAAGAAUUAUCUAUAUAUAGAUUGGGUAGUCUAGAAAACUCUCCUUGAUUAAAUCAAUGUAUAAUUUUGAUAAGACAGUUUAAAAUGUUAACAUCCCAUGUCUUCUGGAGUCCAUUUGGUGACAGAGGAAUGGUAGUAUAUGCUGGGAUGGUUUAGUUCAAUAAGGCUAUUAGUUCUGUUCUGCUUUUUCAAAGAGGUUGAUUGCCAAAUUAACAGCCACAUGAAGGAGAUUGUCUUUUUUUUUUUUUUGUAUCCUGAAUUGUUUUUGCUUCCAACCACAAUUCUGGUCUUCUAUUGGUUCACACUUCCUACUUGUAUCUCGAUGAUUUUAGCUGCAAUACCUCAUUACUAAAUUCAGCUCUAACAACAGAGGAACUUAUUUGCUUCCUCUUUAUCUUGUUCCAUUACUAACUUUCAUGUGCAGCAUUUUUAGAAGGUUAAAACUAAUAGUACAGAAAGGUGGUUUUAAAUCAAAUGUAACAAGAUUCAAUUGACAGAUCAGCUAUGCUUCACUCCAUGUGGUUACCUACACACCUGGAUAUUUGUUUUAGAGUUGUAUGCUGUCUGAAUUAGUGGCCUCAUUUUGUUAUCUGAUUGAAAGCUUGCAUGUAUUUCAGUAAGUUAGGUUCUUCCCUCAACUCUUUUUCUUUAGUAACUAUUAUGGUAUUGUUUUAUAACCUUAAUUAGCUUCUCUUUGGUUUUUCAUUUGUCAGUAUAUCUGCUCUAUUCUGUUCAAUUCCUUUUUCUCUAUUCUCUCAGUUAUGUUGAACUAAAACGCUAUAGUUCAUACAAAGGCUUACUAUAUUUUUUCAUAAUGAUUUAAGGUACAAAGCAGCAAUCAUAGCUGAUCCUUUGUGCUAUGAGGUAUGCAUGACACGCUAUCAAUGUUUUUUUUUUCCUUUCCCCCUAGGGAUAAGCUGGUGGGGGGAGCGUCCCGUUCUCAAAAACUCCUUACCUUGAAUUUUGUGGCUGCAUAAAUUUCAGACAUGACUUUCUAUGCAAAAUAUUACAACCUGUGGAAACUGUUGCCUUCUCAAGGAUUAGAAAAUUACUCAAAAGAGGGCUAGAUUUUUUGAGCUAGGCUUGUCCCUUUUUUUUUUUUGUAAAUAGAAUUUUAAUCCUUUUCUUUAAUUUGACCUCUGCUGAUCACAUAGAUGUCUCAUUUGGAUGUUCCUUAUAAGAUAUAUCGAUUCUCAUUCUUUAUGAUUUUUUUUAUGGCUGUACCUUGAUUUCUUUUUCAGGCUUUGGAAUGCCUUAUAGAAAAUCACAUGCUAACAUGCGAGCAAGGUAAUGAUGUAGUUUUUUCCUAGUCAUCUGUUUCUUUCAUCUGAGAGAAGUGGAUUAUGAAAAUGUUUACAUUUUGAAUUAUAGUUCUUACAUAAGUGUGCACGCGCACACACACACACACACACAUAAAUGAAAUUAUAGUCACACACAAACAUGUUGAUAUAAAUUUAAUUUUGGUAAAAAUUUCUUUGGCUGUGUUCAACUAGCAUUGGAUUUUUCAUGGAACAUGUUAUAAUAGGCUAAUACUUUAAAUUAUUGGAUUUGCUGUUGAAUUUCAGAAACAAGUUUACUUUCAUCAUUGGAAUUUGGUUUUGAAGAUGGAUGGCUUUGUUCAUUCUACUCAUGUUUGAUAAAAAAGGUGAACUGUGUGCAAAUUCAUAUGCUCUUCCAAAUGUAACCAUUUCAAUAAUAAGUUUCCCAUAUGUUUUCGUGAUGUUGAUUCUUUUUGCUGUGUUCGAGUGCAGUGAACAAUUUCUUUCCUUCUUUCCUGUCUCCCUUUGUUUUAUGCAGUAUGACAAAGAGAAUGUUGUAGAAGCCAAAUUCAGAGAAAUUGAAAAAGAAAGAUGUGACAGUGUCCAUUCGAGCCCAUCCUUCUCACACAGUCUGAAAAACAAUACUGAUCUUUUAGAGGGCUUAUUAUUCUGUCAACCAGCGAUACUAGAUUUCAGAAAUAUUCUCUUCACACAGUGUUCUUGGCUCUGUAAUUGUCAAAAAGUUGAAAAGCCUUUUUUCUGUCUGAUGCAUUGUAUAUAUGCAGUUUAAUAUUUGUGGACUUCAAUAAUAUUGAUUACCUUGAUUAUAAUAUUUUCAAUUGUAUGGUUUUUGGGUUAGGGAAGAUUUUUGUCUUUUUCUUUUUUUGGCUUGAUUCUUCUUCUUUAUUAUUAUUAUUGUUACUAUUUCCCUUUCACAAGGAAAAAAUUGGAACUUGCUCCACCUCGCAAAAGUUUUAGAGCGCAUUUAAUUCUCGAAUUGGAGAAUUGGAAUGGAGAAUGGGAAUGAUUGAUUGUGUUUACUUGCUAAAAACAUGAAGAAAUGAGGAUUGAUUUUGGGUGGAGCCCACAAGUUUGGAAAUGAGGUACUGGAAUCCCAUUGCCAUGAGAGAGGUGGGAAUGAAAAUGGGAAAAUUAACACUUUUAUUCUUAAAGAAAAUUAAAUAUUUUUUUUAUCUUAUAUAAAUAAAUAAUUAAUAAUAAUAGUAGUAGUAGUAGUAAUAGUUAUAAUAAUAAUAAAAAAAAUUUAAUGAUAACAUUAGUAGUAGUAAUAAUAAUAAUAAUAAUAAAUAUUUCUUUUUUACCUUAUGUAAAUAAAUAACUAAUAAUAAUAGUAAUAGUAGUAAUAAUAAUAAUAACAAAAUUUAAUGAUAACAAUAGUAGUAGUAUUAAUAAUAAUAAUAAUAAUAAUAAUGAAAAUUAUAGUAUUACGCUCAAUAUUAUAAUAAACAUGUAUAUAUUUAUUUAUUUUGUUAGUGAAAUAUAUAUAAUUUUAACUAAGGGCAUCAUGAUAACUUUCAAUAAUCUAAUCUGACUACGAAAUAAAAUAAAUGCAUAAAUGAAAUUCAGUUAAUUCGAUAGUAAACAAUUUAUUAUGAUUCUCAUUUCUUAUUUUGGUUCCAAAUUCCAUCCCAUUUCAACUCCUGCUCAUUUUGAUUCAUGGGAAGUAAACGCAUUGUUUUUUUUUUUUGAAGAAAGGAAGAAAUUCAUUAAACAGACAAAUGAGAAAAUAACCAGGGUGGUGGAACAUGUCUCCAUUCACCCGGACCUGACAAAGAACACCCCACCUUAGCCACAAUAUGGGCAGCGGUAUUCAUAGAUCUCCUUACAAAAGAGAAAGUCACCUCUUUUAAGCUAUGAGCCAAGGCUCUACAAUCCGAAAUAAUAAGGCCAAAUCCAUUCUGAUAGUCCUUGGAAUCAAUCAACACAUUAAACACUUGUAAACAAUCAGUCUCAAUAAUAAUAGGAAAAAACUGGGUGUUCUUAAGCCAACUCAAGACCUCCCGCACACCCAAAGCCUCUGCCUCACGGGCUGCAAAAUUGCCAACCAAAGAUCCACAUUUUGCAGCAAGAAAUUGACCCUCAGAAGACCGGAUAACUGUGCCGUAGCUAAUCCUAGUAGUAGCACGGGAAGUGGCAGCGUCCACAUUGCAUUUAAACCAUCCAACGCGAGGGCGUUUCCAACAAAAAGAGCCAAGAGUUAAAUCUGCUGGCAUCUGAGUAAAGUGACUCAGUUGACGAGCCCUUUGCCACUGGAACAAGUCUUGACCAGCUUUAUUGAGCACUUGAGGCACUCUGCCUACUACAUGCCUCCAAACUUUAGUAUUCCGAUUUUGCCAAAGACCCCAACAAACCAUUGCAGCAAGACAACUAUCCUCAAUACUACACCGAGUAAAUAGAGCAUCCAACCAAGCUCCAAAAGUAACAAAAUUUCCAGCAAAACCAACCAAAGAAACCAUCCAGCAUUGUUUGGCAAAAGGACAAUCAACUAAGACAUGAUAAAUUGUCUCAAGAGAUGCAUUACAGAUAGAACAAUAAGGGUGUACCUCAACUCGACGACUGAGAAGGUUAUCAGCAGUGGGAACCACAUUUGCCACAGCUCUCCAAAGAAAAUUCUUGAUUUUGGCGGGCACAGCCAGCUUCCAAAUCUUAUUCCAAACUCCACUGUCAGGCGGUUCCGAUAUAAUAUCCAUCCACUUAUAACAACUCCGAACAGUGUAAACUCCUUUGCGUCGGGGAACCAAUACCAAGUAUCACAAUCCCUCCGAGAGCUAAGAGGAAUUUGGAGAAUGCAGUCUCGAUCUCUUCUAUUACACACAUCCUUUACAAGGUCAUAAUCCCACAUUCGGUGAUCAGGAAUCAUAAGACUACUCACAGGAGCUGAUGCUAACGUCGCUGGAAGAUUAGUUGUAAUAAAGCCACUCUCCUGAUCAGGCAACCAAGGAACCGAGCCAAUAGUAAUGCUCUGUCCACUUCCAACUUGGACACGACUCCCUUGGAUUAAAAUCUUCUGAGCAGCCAAAAUCGAUCUCCAUACAAAACUCGGAUUACUUCCCAUCUUUGCUUGAGUGAAGUCUGCAUUAGGAUAAUACCGUGCUUUAAACAAUCUGCCCACCAGCGAAGAUGGAUUUGUAAUUAACCUCCAACCUUGUCUCCCUAGCAUAGCAACAUUAAAGUUGUGGAUGUGUUUAAAUCCAAUACCACCAUAAGAUUUGGGCUUACAAAGUCUGCCCCACUGCAUCCACCUAAUUCCACCACUACCAUAUCUUUUACUGCCCCACCAAAAAGAAUUCAGCAUCCUUUCAAGUUCCCGGCAUAGGUCGAGAGGGAGGAGGUAAACUUGCAUAGCAUAAUUAGGUAUGGCAUGUGCCACAGUUUUAAUUAAGAUUUCCUUUCCAGCUCUAGAGAGGAGUUUCUGACCACCCUUGAAUUCUCUGCCAAACUUUAUCCUUUAUAUAUCGGAAAAUGUCUAUCUUCUUGCGCCCAACAUAAGAUGGUAAUCCAAGAUAGGUACCAUGGUCUGUAGUAGCUACAACUCCAAGCUGUUGACAUAUAUUAUGAACAGUAUCGUCUGCCACAUUCCUACUGAAAGAAAUUAAGGAUUUAUUGUAGUUCACUUGCUGCCCCGAAGCUGCUUCAUAAGUUGCCAAAACCUUUUUUACCAGAUGAGCCUCCUGGACAGUAGCUUUAAAGAAAAGAAAACAGUCAUUAGCAAAAAAGAGGUGAGAAACCAAAGGAGCACCUCUAGCAACUCGAGCCCCAUGGAUCAUCCCGGCCCUCUCAUAGUGAUUUAUCAGCAAACUCAGCCCCUCUGCACAGAUGAUAAACAGAUAUGGCUAUAGCAGAUCUCCUUGUCUAAGACCUCGACUUGGCACGAUAGGGCCUAGCUCCAACUCUCCCCGGGUAAUCUUAUAGGUAACUGUAGUGACACAGAGCAUAAUAAGAUUCACCCAAACAACAUCAAAGCCCAACUUCAGUAAAAUCGAUUUAAAAAACCCCCACUCAAUCCGAUCAUAAGCCUUGGACAUGUCAAUCUUUAAUGCAGCAAUCCCCUCUUUUCCUUGACGUUUCCGUUUGAGAAAGUGCAUUAUCUCAGCCGAGAUUAAAACAUUAUCAGCAAUAGCUCUGCCUGGAACAAAAGCACUCUGUGAAUCGGAAAUUAUCGAUCCUAAAACCAUCUUCAUACGGUUAGCAAGCAUCUUGGCUACAAUUUUAUAGAGGACAUUGCAUAAGGAAAUUGGUCGAACAUCAGUUAAAAAUUCUAUCUGUUUCUUCUUAGGAAUAAAGACAAUAGAAGUCUCAUUAAGACCCUCAGGGAAAGAACAAUCCCGAAUGAACCUAAGACACGCCUCAGUAAUAUCAGUACCCACUACAUUCCAAAACUUUUGGUAAAAUGUUGGGUUCAUUCCAUCAGGACCAGGGGAUUUAUCAGGGUGCAUAUCAAACACGGCAGAUUGAACAUCUUCAGCAGUAAAAGGUUCCAAAAGAGAUUGAUUUUGUGCAUCAGUAAUUUUAGAUUCCACACAAUUAAGCACAUCAUCAUAGGAACAAAUCCUAGCAGUAAAUAAAGUUGUGAAAUACUCACAAAUUAAAUUAUUUACAUCCGCAGGAUUAGUACACCAUUGCCCCUCUUGAUUGCGAAGCUUGAUUAAGGUAUUCUUACGCUUCCUUGACGAGGCCAUGGCAUGGAAAUACUUUGAAUUUGAAUCCCCAUCUCGAAGCCAAAACGUCUUCGAACGCUGCUUCCAAUAAACUUCGUGGCUAUGCAAGAGCUCAUUGUAUCUAUCUCGAGCUUCAAUAAAAUCAGCCAAGCUAACUGCAUCACGCUUGCCCCUAAGCUGAUGCAUUUUAUCCUUACACUCCUUAAUUUGAGCUUUGAAAUCCCGAGUACGAUGAUAGCCCCACCGAACUAAAUCUAAGCUGCAAGCCGAGAUUUUACUGAGAAUAGGAAGCCCACCCACCAUAGACCAACUCUUCUCAACAAUAUUAGCACAAUCCGGAUCUCUAAGCCAUGAGUUCUCAAAACGAAACUUCAUAGACCGUCGUCUAAAACCACAGGAGACACAUCCAAAAAGAUAGGGAGGUGAUCUGAACUCGAAGCUUCAAGACACAGAACCUUCACUUGCGGGAAAAGAUUCACCCAAGCGGAAUUUGCAAGGGCUCGAUCUAACUGUUCUUCAACCCAAGCUUCAGUGCCCCGUGACCUUUCCCACGUGAACUGGUAACCAUCCAUACCCAAAUCAAUGAGGCCCGAAUCAGAAAGUGCAGCCCUGAAACCAUUUAUCUUCCACUGCGGGUGAGCAUGAGAGCCGCGCUUCUCUGAGAAAUUGAGGAGGUCAUUGAAGUCCCCUAGACAGACCCAUGGUAACGACGAAGUAGAAGCUAAAUACCGGAGAAGAUUCCAAGAAUCAUGUCUGCGAAAUGACUCGGGAAACCCUUAGAAACCAGUAAGUCUCCAGUUGCCCCUUUCACUAUCCUCAACUGCAAAGUCUAUAAAAUUACACCCAAACUUCAAUAAAUUAACUUUAAAACUAUUUUUCCAGAACAUAGCAAGCCCACCACUACGGCCCUUUCUAUCCACCACAAACAGACCCUCAAAACCUAAUCUAAUUUUGAUGCUUUCUAACUUAUCUCUGUAACACAAUGUCUCAAUCAAGAAAAUAAAAUCCGGUCUUUUAUUCUGGACCAACUCAACAAGAGCUUGAACUGACCGUGGUUGGCCCAACCUACGACAGUUCCAACUUAAACAACUCAUUGGUGUCGGUGGGCCUAGAAUACAGGGCCCACCGCUGGUCCAUUUUUUGAGUGCUCACUCAUCUCUAUUAUCUCAGUAUCAGCAUGCUCUUCUAAAUUCAAGUUGAUAGGAGGCCCACCUCCUGAUCUUCUCCGUUUUGCAUCAACUAAAAUUAAUGCAGAAUUAUACUCCACAUCAGUUUCCUUCACAAGCAUCGAAUGAUUAGCUAUUAGUUCCUCGUCAAUUCCAUCUACACGCAUUGACUUACAGCCUGUUACAAGAAUAUUAGAAUUCAUUGUGACUUGAGCACUUUCCUUCCCAAGGUCUCCGUGACCAGCUGUCCCAUGAUUCACGCCAUUUUCCAAGUCAACUGCCAUUUCAACAGCGUAAGUUGAGGGAUUACCAAAUUUCACCUCAUCUAUCUCUAACACUCCCGAUCUGAGCCAACGGUCACCGGUGUUCAUCGAGCUUCUCCGAUUGGGAGCCUUCAUCCAAGGGCCAUAAGGUUUAAUAACAGGGGUAGCAUCAGUUUCAUAUAUUGAGGGGCAAUUUUUAUCAGUGUGUCCUAAAAUGCCACAGAUAAAACAAAAAUUGUGCAGUCGCUCAUACUUGAAGUCUACCUAUAACCACUCCCCACCCGCUCUUUUGAGGCGCAUUCGUCGUUUAAGGGGUUUCCUAACAUCAAUCGAAACCCUCAGCCUCAUGUAAUUACGCCAUACUCCUGUAAGAUUAUGUUCAUCAGAUGCCAAAAAUUCACCAAUAAAGUUGCCAAUACUCUGUAAUAUUUUCUCGGACUGAAAUCCAAGAGGCAGAUUAUACACUUGAACCCAGAAAUAUGUGUGGAAAAGAGGGAUAUUCUGCGGUUGUUCGUCUACCCCAAGUCUCCGAAUUAUAAGAAUAUGCUGAUCAAAGGUCCAGGGACCAGAUUCAAGAACCCUCCUCAUAUCAAUUUCAUGAAAGAACUGGAAGAGAAAAAGCGUGGGAGAUAAAUCCUUAAUACAAACACCACGCCCAGGACGCCAUAACGAAGCCAUAGUAUUUUUCAUGGCAAUAAAGUUCACUACUUUGUCCGUGAGAAAUCUUCCCACAAGGCAGAAUUUGGAAUCAAGACGGAUAUCCCCAGGAUUAUCAAUCUCCUCUCCAGCCACAAUCAAACCACCCUCCUCCUCCUCGUCAAGUUGCAGGCGCGCACAGAUGUUGCUCAUCUCAGAUUUCAAAGUAUUACUUGUGUUGGCCAUGGAUUAAAGAAAGAAAAGGAUUGAAUCCGUAGACAGUAGAGAAAUAACAAAAGGAGACCAGAAUUUACUUGUCAAAAGACAAGACACACACACUUGUCAAAAGACAAGACUCAUUUUUUAACAAUACUCAAAACAAGUAAACGCAUUGUUAAUUUGUCGCUGUUGUUAAAUAUAUCCUUUAUGGAUUUCAUAUGAGGUUUGAAAUGUUAUUUAGUGAAAUUUAAUUUCUUGUUGGCUCUAUUCACCACAGCAAGGCUACAAAUCUUGAUGGGACAUUCGCCCCCGCUUGGAUAGGUUAUGGAAAUGCUUUUGCUGCUCAAGAAGAGGGUGACCAAGCAAUGUUGGGUUAUCGCACUGCUGCUUGUUUGUUUCCAGGGUAAUUUUUAGCAUUAUUUAUUCAUUUCUAUACCUUCCUGAUUUUCUUUUCCUUGGAUCAGCAUAUUCAUGCAAUGAGGACAAGGACAAAGCCACUAACUUGCUUUUGAGCAAGUUUCAGAACACUUUUAGAAUUUCAUUUUUGGCUUUUUUUUUUUACUUUCUUGGUCUCUGAAAGAUAUCUUAAGGGUAGGGUUUGGUUGAUUUUGCUCAUCUUGAUAUUAUUCAAUUCUUGUUUAAUUUGAAGAACAGUGUGCUUUAGGUGUAUAAUCAUGUGGGUAAAAAAUUUUUUUGGUCCCUCAAGUUUCUAUUAGGUUUCAUGUAAUCCAUGAAAUUUCUGUUGCUUCAGCUUAAUCUGUUUCAAGUGCGCUACCACUAAAAAAAUUGGGUUUCAUGGGUUAUCAACCAAGAUUUUUUUUUCUCCUUUGAUUUAAUAUUAAUAAACUGUUUUACCAAUAUAAACUUUUGAUGAAUGCUUUGCAUUUGAUUUCCAUAUUUCUUCCUGAGAAAUGUUGUAAGUUGAUUAAACAUAGUCUUAAAUCAACCCAAGGCAUUGUUGUAAUGUCUUUCUAUUGUGAUAAUAAACCACAAUGUCAUAGUAGUUUUAUGGUCGUAAAGAUCAAUGAAUUUCAUUGUUUAUUGUUUAGUGAUGGUAUGCAUUGUGUUGUGGGAGUACUCUUAUCACUAUGAAUUGUCUUUUUACAGGUUGAAUCUUGAUGGUCUCUUAUUCCAGGUGCCAUUUACCAACUUUGUAUAUUGGAAUGGAGUACAUGCGAACUCACAGCUUUAAGCUUGCCGAACAGGUGUAUUACUUUCUUCUAAAUAUAGGCUGCCUUUCAUUUUUCUCUUUAGAUUUCAAUGAGAACUCUUAAGAGGUUGUUUGUUUGCAAUAUGAAGUCUGAUUGUUGGAUAUUCAGAUGUUGGUCUAUACGAUUUGCUAGUUGAUGUUGUCUUGGGGGUUUCAUUUUCCUCUUUGGAUUUAAUGUGAAUACGACUUCUUUCCUCUUUGUUUAAUUGUGACAACUUCUAAUAGAUGCUAAUCACAAUCUUUAUUCAUGAUUCUGAGACCUGUGUAAUUAGAAUUUUGGUCAUAUCGUCCAUUUUCCUUUGUUGUCAAAAUAAUGUCUUCUUUACCCAAAUCUCUUAGUCAUAAUUCUUUGAAUAUAUUGUUGAAUUUCUGAUUAGCUGCCCUUUCUCCAGUUUUUCAUGCAGGCAAAGACCAUAUGCCCAUCAGAUCCACUUGUAUAUAAUGAACUUGGUGUUGUUGCUUACCACAUGAAGGAUGUUUGGUUCACUUGAGUUGCUGUUUUCUGUUGAUCCGUUUACCUUAUUAGUGUUUCAUUUUUAAUAAUAUUAUUACUUAAGUAUAUGAAAUUCUAGUUGAUUUAAACUUAGGUCUUGUUUGGUGUUGAGGUGUUGUAUCUUUUAAACUACAAGUGUUGUGGAAAAAAGCUGCAACUAUUAAAUAAAAGUUAAUAGCUUGUAGUAAAUAUAAUUUUUAAAUAAUAAUUUUGACAAAAUUAGUAAAGAUAUAAUAAAGUUUUCAUCAUACAAGUGUAAAAUCAAAUCAAGUUAACUUUCAAACUACAACAGCUGGUGCUUACCAAAUACUUUAGUGCUUUAGUUUUUAAGCUAUAGUUGUCCAAUUCAAUCCCAAACGGUGCUUUUCAGGAAUUGUGCUCUUUUUAUUGUUAUAUGUUAUGGCUUUUGUAUGAGUUCCCAAUCAUCAGUUUGACCAGCAAUUAUUUGAAAUGUGUGGUGGUUUGAAAAGACCUUGGCGCACAUUCCGUCCUCUUUAAGUGAAAUGUGGAAACCAACCGUGGUGAAUCUUGCACAUGCUUACAGAAAGUUAAAGUAUGUUUAAAUUUAUUGGAAUAGGUUGUCUCACUUGCAUUUUCUUGUUCUAUUGCCUACUCAAGAUAUUUAUCCUUUAUUUUAUUGUGUUUUUGUUGAAUUUUACAUGAAAUAUCAUUCAGAUAUCUAGAUUUGUUUUUUUUUUUUUGGCUAAAUUUUCAAGUAGAGGAUCAUCUUUAUCUUGAUAAAUGCAUUUUAUUUUAGGGAUUCCAGCAUAGGGUAAUAAUGUAAGAUUUUUCAGUUUGCAUCGUCUGAGAUUGUGAGCAGCAUGAAGAUAUAAGAAAGAAGUAUAACCUUCCUUAUACCGUCAUGGCUGCUUAUGAUCAGCUUUGCCCAGUAAGCUCGAGAGACUACUAGGAGCCGUAGAAGUUGUCUGUAGCACUUCCUAAAAGGACUUGAUGCAAAUAGUUUAAAUAAGGAUAUGCCGGAUUAUGGAUUGGUCUACUCUCUACUGGCUACUUCAUAUGCUACCCGUUUAUAUAUUUUUCUCUUUAUGGAAGAGUACUUUUUUUUUCAUGUUUUUGCUUUUUUCCUUCUUAGUAGGCGGUGGAUUUAGGUUUAUUUCUAGUAUUGCUAAUCUAUAAACAUACAUUUGACUUAUUGUUUAUUGAACCUGAUUCUAGAAUCUAUCAUGUUUCAGGAUAUAUCACGAGGCAAUAUCCAGUUACGAGCGAGCGCUGACGUUGUCGAAUAGAAGUUUGAGCACAAUAUAA
rnacentral:lncRNA from 1 species